rnacentral:lncRNA from 1 species
CUAGUAUGUUAUUGGCUUUGUUUGCUGGUGGGAAUGGGUAUAGAGUGGAGGAAAACAAUGGGUGUUUGAUGUUGGGAUGGCAUACAAGGCCUCUAAUUGCAACCUCGGCUUGGAAACUCAGUUAACCGACCGAGUUAAACUUGACUCGGUCAGUGAGUUAUGGGUUUGCAGGGGGGGACUAGCUCAGUUUUGGGCCUUUGGUCUACCAAACCAUUGUAAGAGUGGUCUCUGCUUAGCUGGGUACCUUAGUGAGGUGAGACCCACCGCUCCCUAGUGUGUCUCCCUUUGUUUUUUGUUUUUUUUUUUUUUUGAAUUAUUCAAUUUUCUUUUUACUUUAUCCAUCUGUUUUAGGUUUUUAAUUUUUAAUUUUUUUAGGGUUUUUUUUUUUUUUUGUUAAUUUGGGGUGGAAUCAUGUAACUUUCCGGGGGUGAAUCUCAAAAGGGUCAAUGUGUAGUUAUAUAUAGCUUUGCUUAAUAAAAAGAUAGGGGACUUCUUUUUCUUUUCUUUCUUUCUGGAUUCUUGAUUGUGGGCGUGAUGUAAAUGACAGAAUGGCAUAUUUGUGGAAUUGUGUGUUUGUGCUGGUUUAUCAAAAAGCUUGUUUGAUUGGAACUUUUUGGUUUUCAUGGACCAUCAAAGCAUUUGAGAGCUCACUUUUGUCAAAGAAUGUCUAUAAUUUGCACAUGGCUUGGCAACUUACUUUCGAGCCCUAAUCAUUCUCAUAAGAAUCUGAAAUUUGUUGAACUCAAGGGCUUGUUGCAGCUGCUGUUGAGUCAUGAGUGUUGACUUCAUUGUGUCGAUUAUUUUUCAUUUUCUUUACAAGAAUUUAACAUGCACCACCCUCUCAAGUCUCAACUAGGACUCGAUUAAUUAAUAUGCCAAACUUGUUUGGAUUGCUAUUUUUUUUCUCAAUAAAUUUUUAUAUGUUUGACGAAUGCAUUUCUCAAUUACGUUUUUAUUUUAUAUAUAUCAAAUUAAAUUAUUACAGUACAUUUCAAAAAAUAACAAUCCAGACGGGCUUAUAGAAAACAUCAAAAAGUGCCACAAAUUCAGUGAGUUAUCAUGAUGACUAGCACAAUUAAUACUCUUAUUAAUCUCGAGUAUUUUAGCAACAAUCAUUUGCAAUCGUCUUUGACGACUCAAGACAACUAGGUGAUUAGCAUGUACUACAACAAGUGCUUAAAUGGUAGUUUGGCUUGUAAGCAAUACUAAACGAUUUGACUAAUUAAUAGCAUGACAACUCCUUCUUGAAAUCCUAUUCCUUUUGUGUGCCUUUUAAGAGAGUUGGGAGCUUUAAAUGACGUUAGUUCAAGAUGCAAGUAAAGGUAGGCAAGCUGGCUUGGGAGACAAUCGAACUCAUAAAAUAAACUUAAAAGGUCAUAAGGGGAGUGCUAUGGGAAAAACGAGAGAAUUUUUACUGCAAGUUAUAUGUUUUUUUUGAUGAAUUCGAAGAAUAGAAUAAGUGAUCAGCAGCUACCAAUGUUUAACAAUAUCGAGGGACUGGCCUGCUAAGAAAUUUACAAUUGAAUUCCUCGCAGAUCGGCAUCAAUUAGUAUUAUGAUUAAUGAACAAGAUUAUUUAGGGAACAAGAUUAGUACAGGUCAUACGACUUUUAAUAACAUUUUCGCCACGUUAGCAGGAUGAUUAAGGAUCGUUAAUACCUACAUGAUUGUAACAUUUACUCUAUUAAAUAUAAGAGUACCUGUCAUUAUCAUUUUCAAGCAACUUGAAAAAUUUCUAUUAUGAGAUUCUCUUCUGGAUCCUAACAAAAAAUUUGCCGGCCAUUUGAUUACAAUAGACGUUAAUAAUGGAUGCUUCAUUAAUUUUUUUUUUUUUUAAAGUAUACAUUGAUUUGAGUCCCAUUUAGAUGCUCUUAACAUUGAGAAUGACCCUUCCCUAAAUUCAAUGUUUGGGGCGGGGCUUCUUUCCCUGAGGUUUUCUAAUUGAAAAUCAGAAAAUAAAGAAAAAUUUUGGGCAAUUUUCCAAAUGUCGAAAUGUGAUUGACCAAUAAUUGAACUUCUCUUGAAAGAGAAGCUGCUACCAGUUGCAAGAUGGUUUUAUACGUACAUUUCUCACACGGGUUGCUAUUCUUGAUUGGAAUAUGAUGGUUAAAAUUCGUUAAAUAGAUUGAAAUUUCAAGACCUUAUAUUCUGCAAUUAAAUGAAUUCUGAAUUGACUGCUAAUAUUUUUCCCAAUUCACCAAACAAACUAGAUAUAAGUAUGGUGAGUAGAUGGAAAUGAAUUAAAUGGCUUUACAAAUUUGAAAGUUUUUUUUUUUUCAAUUUAUUGGUCACAUGAACCCUAUUUUGAGGGGAUAAAAAAUUACUAAAAAGAACCCUAUUAAAAAGUGAACCCAAAAAUUGAUUUGUUUGAGUUUUUUUUUUUUUUUUUGGAAAAAUGAAAAAAAAGAAGACAAAUCUCAUAUUUGGACUCCACGAAUAUACUUUUGGUGAGUUUUGCCCCCCAAAAUAAGAAAAAAAAAAUAGCAUCACUCUCUAAAAUUCAAUCUAAGCCUCACUAUUUACACACCACAAAAAUAAUUUGUACUUUCUUGCUGAAAUGAGGAUGCUUGUACAAUUUCAUAUAAUAUUCUCGGAGAAAAAGAAAGAAACGAAGAGAGGAAGAAAGAGAUGAAAAUGUGCAUAUUAAGUCCUUGUAAUAAUUACCUCCUAUUCGUUAGUCUAAUUCAGUAGUGAUUUCUGCUUUACCUCUCCCGCUUUUUUAGACAUUUCCUCUUGCCUUAACUUCUUUUAGCUAGGACCUAAUAAAGUACGAUUUAAGAUGUAGAAAGUGGUCAAUGCGCUUUUUCUUAAUUCUAAUUGAAAAGAAACCUUUUCUAGGUAGUGUUCUAAAAGUGACUUAGCACUCGUGGAAUAUAAUGGGAUUAGUAUGAGAAAAACAGUGGGGGAAGGGAAGAAAAAAAUGCUUUUGAAGGCUUUUGUUGUAUGAUCACUAUACUUGCACUCCAUUGGCUCUGAGCCACAUAACAAACCUGGGAGGGAAAGUUAUUACUUUAGUGUUUGAUUUGCUAUGUCAAUCUUUUCCUAUGACAUAAAGUAAUUAACUCCAACUCAAUCAACUAUAUAUAAAACUCUUAACCAGAAAGAUGUAUGCAUACAUAAGUAAUUUUAAGCAGUUAAUUAUCUUCACGACAUAUAGUUAUUGCAAGAUUACUCUUAUAUGAGUAGCUCGUAUUGAAAAAAAAAAAGAUUUAUUGAUAAUGCAUAGCAUCCACAUGCAGUAAUUUUUGAGAUAGAUAAUAUAAAAAUAAAAAAAAAUCGAAGGCAUGCUUUUGUUCUUAAUGUUUGGACAAGGUUAUUAUCCAGAAAAGAACUAAUAGUAUUGCUUUUAAGGAAGAACAAAUUUGAGUUAAAAUGAAGAAAUUUAUAUAUAUAUAUAUAUAUAUAUAUAAAUCAGUCGGGGGCUCGAGAGGUGGUGGUUUACCUUAUAGCAGAUGCUAGCUGUUCGAAUCCGUCUAUCUCCAACUCGUGAACUUAGCUGAUACAAAACUACAAAGAUAUAUAUAUAUAUAUAUAUAUAUAUAUAUAUAAUAAAUAACCCUUGAUUUCAAUAUAACUAGUAUAUAGUAUAACUAUAGGGUUUGUUUGGAUUGUAUUUUAUUUGGAAUAUUUUUACUGUGAGAUAAAAAGAUAAUUGAGAAGAUAAAAAGGUGUAUUGAAAAUUGUAAUGAUGAUGUAAGCAGAUAAAAUUGGUUUAUAUUAGCUUAAAUUGAUAGUAUAACACAGAAAUCAGAAUUUCAAAGAUGCCAAGGUUUGUAACAAGUUGUCAAAAUGAAGAUGGAAAAAUGUUGAUUGAAGCUUUGGUCAUUGAGGAAGGCUGGUCUAGAUUAUUUUAAAGAUGAUAAUGAAGGUUGGUCAAAAUGAAAGGGAGGUGUGCAGUGGUGGGCUAGAGACAACCAUGACUGCAAGUUGCCUUAGAUCAUAUAUAUGGUAGUUGAGAUACACAGGUUAGUAUUAUUUUAAGGUGAUGUCCCUAGAUGAAAUGUACACAAGCAAUAUAAAACUAAAGGGGAUAGAAGUUGAAAAACUACAUGUUCAUAUUGUAUGAUUGAGCCAUUUAGCUGGUUAGCAUCUUUGUUGCAUUAGCAUUCCUUUUAGCUGGGAAGCAUGUUGUUGCAUUAGUAUUGGGUCUUUUCCUUUAUCUUUCCCCUUUUUUUUUUCCCAUUUAAACCUGCAAGAUAUGAGGAAAAUUUUGCACUAUCCAUGUGAAAAUCCACAAAGAGAGGAAUUAAAAUUUGUUUCCCAACUGAUAGUUAGAGUUGUCAGUUAGGCCUUGAGAGGUGAGUUAGUAUUGGGAACUCAAACCUGCCAGAGUACACAGAGUCAUGCUCAACUUGCAAGAUUUCAAAUUGGUCAUGUCCAUUUUCUGUCUUGAGAUCAUCAUCAUGAUAAUUGGAUUCUUAUCUUCAUUCCAAGAAACCCCUAGGAAGACACCUAGGACUUCAUGCAAUUUUCUUGAUUAUGUACUCAACAACAUUAUCCAGUUUCUCCAGAUCUUUUUCUUGAUGGCUUCGCAAUGGAGGCUGAGAGUUAAAAUUACGCCAAGAUCAUCCUCAACUCUUGACCGUUCAAAAAGGAAAGGGAUAAUUGCAGAAACCUCCCUUGGAGUUUUUAACAAUUUCAUUCGGCUCCUCGAAGUUUUAAAAAUUAUGCAUACCUCCCUUCUCAUUUGAAAUGAUAAUAUUGCCCUUAAAUAUUUUAAUGAGAUUCCCUUAUUUUGUAUGCUUAUACUUAGACUGAUUUUUAAAAUAUUAUUUUUUAUUAUUUUUCUUCUUAUUUCUUUUUUUUUUUUUUAAAUUUUUUGCCAAUAAAACUAUAGAACUACUACUAUUACUUCUAGUUUCUAUUGUAACCAAAUGUCGAACUAUUGAUUUUUUUAUGAAUUAAUUUUAUAUGCAAUCCAAUGUUUUUACUGAUAUUUGUUUUCUAUUUUUUUGGUAUUAAAAUUAACAAUAAAUCAAAAAGAAAUGGUCCAAAACCACUACUAAAUUAUGAUAAUUCCACUACUCAAAAAAUUCAUAAACUCUAAAUGAAUUAUUUUAACAUUUUCUUUCAUCUUAUAAAUCUAAAUCUAUAAUAAAAUACCAUUAAAAGUAUCCUAUCAUAAUGAUAAAAAUUAUUAUUAUAGUUGUUUAUCAAAUAGUAGGUAUGGAUAUGAAAAUUUGGCGCUUUUUCCUUAUAAUUAUACUAGACAAUCUUAUAAUUGUAUAGGGAAGUAAAUUAGAACUUAUUACACAAGGGCAUUUUUGGAUAUUCAUUUAAAAAUUUGACCAAGUCAAUAUUAUUUUAAGGUUCUGUUACUAAAACUAUCAAAUCGAGGGAGGUAGGUGUAAUUUUUCAAAUCUCAGGGGAGGUCAGUGGAAUUGUUAGAAACCUCAGGGGAGGUUUCUGAAAUUAUUCCAAAAGGAAAAGAAAAGAAAAAAGAUUGCAGUGAAAGAGGAAAAACGUUGAAAAAAAAAUGAAAAUAUCAUUUUAUAAAACUGAAAGAAUCUCAAAUACACUAGCAACAUAUCCAAAAAAAAGAUUAAUAGAAAUGGCCAAAAACAAAUGCACUGAAUCUUCAACAACCAGUAAAUAAACAAAAGUACAAAUGGAAGCAAAAGUGCAAUCUAAUCCACGCAUAUUGAACAAUAAAACUUUAUAUGUAUAUAUCCAUUGUAUAGACUACAAAUACAUCUGCAAUUAUAUGCGCAAUGAUGCACAAGAAAAUAUGCGCAUAUAUAUACACAGUAAACUUGCUAUAUUUAAUUUCGAGUUGGCCCUUUAAAUAGACUUUUAGGUUUCCUGUUGGGACCCCCCCUCCCCCGGGCCAAAAGAAAAAAGAAAAUAUAAACGUCCCUUUUUAAUAAAUUGUUAGAGGAUCACAUCAUAAACCAUUUCAAAUCCCACAUGGCUUUUGUGUUUUGAGCCCCAAAUGCUCUUCUUUUCCUACCUUACAGAUUUGACAGACAAAUAAAAGUGGACUUCUUGAGAAUUUGGUUGCGAAGAUGCCAUGUCAAACUAAAAUUCUUCCAACUUUAUCGUUCAUAGCGUCUACGAAUGAGUAAAUGAAGAUGUGGGAAUUGAACAGAGUCAAUUACUUUGUAAACUGUAGACAGUUCUUGUUGAGACGGCCCGCCAUCUUCCUGUAAUCUUCCUUUCAUCUUCAAGACCCCGUCAUUGAUUUUUCUUUUCCCCUUUUAUUUUUGCCCCUUUGGUGUGCAAAACCUAUAAGGUUGCCACAGAGAUAGUUGAACAAGUUCUUGCAAGGAAAAUACUUUUUUAUUUGGCUGAUUUUAGCAUUGUUAGAGCCCUUGUUUUUAUUCGAUCGAAACUAAUAAAUAAACUACCAUGAUUACAUUGGACAAUCAAGAAGCAUUGGAGGUGACAAAAUGAAUGAAAAUUGAGAGGGAAUGAUUGUUGUAUGAAAGCAUUUGCUCUUCAAGAUGUUAAUCCUCUCCGAAUCUUUUUUGGUUAAAAUCAUACUGCAAUUCUUUCCAAACAUAUCUCUGUUGUGGGCUUUACAAAAUGGCCAAACCUCCCCGCCGGGGGGGGGGGGGGGGGUUGUGUGUUUAUCUGUGCUAACAGAAGUACCAUUUUCCCAAGACAUCAAAGCUGAAAACUGCUGCAGUCUUUCAAGACCUUGCUGUAUACAAGUAAUUAUUAUUAGGACAUGCAUUAUUCAAUUUUGCAUGGAUUGCAUAAAAAUAAGAGGUGGGCGGUGCCACAACGGAGGGAGGGGGGAAUGGGUUUUGGUGGCUGGUCAUUGUCAACACCGCUCGUGGGGUACUAAUAGUUGGGCUUGUCGGCUGGCACUUCAAAAGUGACUUUCAGUCUUGAUAUGCAAUUUUCUGAGUUUUUGGGCAAAUUCCCACUAUAAAAACUUUAUACUUCUCCACCACAAAAUGUUCCCAACUCCCCACUUUUUCCUUUUUUUUUCAUCUUCCUCUUUUUCUGGCAUGAUACAGAAACCAGCUCACUACAUUUGAUAAUGGUGAUCCUAGAAUCUUAAAGGAUUGCUGUUUGGUCAAUAACUCAGAAUCGACUAUAUAUGAAUGAAUCAGAGUGUCUACAACCACGAAGGCGUGGUUUAAUUAGUGGUACGAAAGCUGGUCAUAAAGAUGAAGUCGUGACUGAUGACAUAAAAUUUAUCCAAAAGUUUAUGGAAAGAUUCGUUGCUAGAUCCUCGAUCUAGAAGUUCUGUUCUUUCUUACCCCAAAAUCACAAAAAAGACCUCAAUUGUGGAAUGGUACUUUAUUAAGUGCAACCUCCAUUAUUACUUGCUUAAAUAGCCUGAAAAAACCAAGAAGAAAGGCAAAUAUAUUGACUUUCCUACGUUGAGGUUUUGAAUCACAGGCUAGGCUAAGAAGGUAAAAAGUUUGUGGCCACUUAUGUCAUCCAAAAUCACAUGAAUAUACUUCCAUAUACAGGCUCCAGAAUAGAUUGAUAUACUUUUUUUUUUUUUUUUGGGUGUAAUCUUUUGACACUGUUCAUUACCAACGUGUGUUUGGAACAAUUGACAUUAUAUGAACUUGUAACAUGAAUUCGAUGAUGUAUCCCAUUAAAUUGACCAUGGAUUUUCUUUCGCCAUGCGAGGCUUGCUUUAUUUGUAGACAUAACUGGUCAUUAGCACACCAAGAAUGAACUUGUCCUAUUUAAAAGGACCAGUGUAGGCACUUUGCACGCAUGAAAGAUUUGAUUGUUCAAACUUCAAAAUAGGAUCGAAAGAUGUACUAAAUUAUUUAAUACUUGAAUCGAAUUUGAUUUAGCAAGAGCUUAUUCGAAUUUAAUUCAUCAAUUAGUCAAAUAAAGUUUAAAAAUAUUUUAUAUUUGAUAACUUUCUAUCUCGAUAAAAAAAUUUAUUCAAAUUCUGUUCAACAAAUAAAUAAACAAAGUUUGAACAAAAUUUCAAGUUUGUUAAAAUGAUCAAAUAAGGCUCAACACUAGAACGUUGGAUUUGAUUAUAUACUCAUUUACACGCCCUACUUCAAAGUGAACAGUGACGCAAGAUAACCAACUGCUUUAGUGGUUGGCUAUCAGGGAGAGAUUUAAAACUCAUCUUAAAUAUAGGUCAAGGGAUCGAAUUUUUUUGCCUACAUUCUUGUCCAGGAUUUUUUAAAAAUUUUAUUGCACCCAUCUGAUCCGUGCUCGGCAAAGGAAAAAAAAAUAACAUUGACGCAAGAUACGUGGAAACGAGGGAAGAUUUGGAUUGGAAACCAACAUGAAGAUUUUUCCAGAGAACCAAAGGCCAGGAACAAAUGAGCUACAUCAACCACGGAACCGUGGUUGACCAAAGUCGCCAAGUUUAAGUUCCAAAACCAGUAAAAAUUUCUAGCACAAAUUUCAAAGUUUCAACUUUCCAACAUUAAUUCCAAGUCAUGGUCAAUACAUCCUAAUCCAUUGUUGACCCAAAAAAUCUCAAAAUUUGAUGCGCACGGGUUGUCUGCCCAUUUUUUCAGAGUUGUUUUUCGUUCUUCUGUGUACGAAACAUUCCCGCAAAUUUACUCAAAAAUUGUCCCAUGUAUUAAGAAAGUUGCACAAUAAUCAUAUUAGAUAAAUAUCACAAUACAGCAAGGAAAUUAAGUCCAAAGAAUUAUGUGCUGGAUCCCUACUCUCUCUUUUUUUUCUUUUGCUUCGGAAAAUGAUUUUUUGCAGGGAAAGGUUCCUAAGUAGCUUAUACAACUUUUUUUCUUUUUUUUUUUUUGGUUUUCUGUUACCUUAAUUUCUUUUAAGUCUAGUAUAUUUCCAUCCAAGAAUUUAAUGGGAUGAAACUCCUCCAUUAGAUGAAUACAUCCAAGUUGAAUAUUAGUCCAGGUACUGCGGAAUAUGUCUGGUGAUGCAUGUAUUGGGGAAUCUAAUGCAGGGACCCGUCCAUAGGCAGCCCAACAAGCAAGUGGGAGAAUUUGACGUUUCUUUGACGUUUCGGUCCAUCAGGUAAAAAACCCAAAAAGAAAAGGAAACAGCAGAAGAAUGAGACUAACCGAAGAAGCCAAUGAAAGAGAAGCCCAAAAUGGGAGAGGUGACCGUUAGGAGAGCUUCUUAACAUGGGCUAGUGGAAAGCACACCCAAUUUAAAAAAUGUGGAUUAAACUUUCGUGUCAUUAAAAAAAAAUGGUAGAAGUUAAUACUUCCAAAAAAAGAAAGAAUUAUUGGAAGUAAUUUGUUUUUUAAAAUAAGUUAUGAAGUUACUAAAAUUGUUAUUUUUGGUGGUUAUAUAGUGGGUUUCUUACCAAUUUGAGGGUAAGGAUGGAAUAACAUAAAGUGAAAAAAAAAUGUUAAUACCAAAAUCCACCUUCAUGCUUUGUACAGGAGUGAAACACCCAAUCACCUAGCUUCAUGUCGAAUUCUAGUAUGCCGCCAAGCCAACUUUAGUGAAAGAAACAUUAGCCUUCUCCAAAAAAACAAAAAAAGCCAACUAAUUAUAAGAUCCUUUCCUUCCCUUUCCUCCUUUCUCCGGCAAGUAACUUGGAGCUUGUUUCAUUUUCACCUUAUAAGUUUUCGAGUCCCCUUUGAAUCCAAAACAUAUGGAAAUAAAAAAGUAGAGUUUUCACAUGGAGCUUGACAAGUUGAUGUUUGCGUAUAGACACCAAAAUAGUUAAGCCAUCCCUCCAUGCCACCAUGAUUAAUGAGUUCAAAGUGAUUAAAAAUCACAAUAUUUCUAAAUGAUAAAUACAAAUAUGAGAUUUCAGAAAAUCAAGAAGAUGGACUAAUUUUUAAUUUAUUUCUAUUGCUUAAGUUGUAUGUCAUUUAAUAUAGGAUUUUCCAUAAUUAACAUAUGUAUGAAUUAGUUGCUUUUAGGGAUAUUUUUGAAAAAUUUUACUAUAGCAAUGCAUGUGACAAAUUUUUACUAUAGUUAUUUUUGGUGGUGCUUUUGGAAUGUAUUUUUGAGUAUUUUUAAAAUUUAAAAAUUUUAGGGAUAUUUUUUAAAGAUAUGUCACCACCACCCACCACUAUUACCAACCCCUUUCUCUUCCUCCAUCCCUUCUUCUUCUUCUUGCCCUAUUUCCCUCUUCUUCCUCCUUCCUCCUCCUUCCUCUUCUUCUUCUUGUUCAUCCAAUCAUUUCUUUCCCCCUUUCUCUCGCUUCCCUUUCCUCUUUUGGUCAGCCUCUUUCUCUAUCCCAUGGUAGAUCACGACCAAAGCUCUGGUCACGAUCUCUAAUUGCGACUAGAGGGAGUUACGAUCACGAUUGAAGUUGCCAUUGAAUAAAAAGGGGAUUGCAAAAUUUUACCACCCCUUCCCUUCUCCUCUAUCCCUCUUCUCCCUCCCUUCUCCUCUCUUCACUUUCACCCAAGAACCCUCCUUCCCCUUCUCCUUCAUUUUUGGUUGCGACUAGAUCUGAAUUUGGCAGGGGGAAAGGAUAGGAGAGAAGGGAAAGGGAGAAGGAAGAAGGGAAAGGAGGAGGGAAAGGAGGAGGGAAAGAGAGGAGAAAGGAGGGAGGGGGUAGUGGUGAUGGGUGGCAAUGGGUGAUGUUGUCUGGUGGGUAGUGGUGUGUGAUGAAAGAAGAAUAUGUGGUAGAAUUAUUAUUUUUGUGUAUUUAUUAAUUAUUUGUGUAUGAACUAGGUAUUUUUAGAGUUAUUUUUAUUUGUAUAUUAUUAUAACAUUGUAUUUGAAAAAUUAGAUUAUGAAAAAUAAAAUCCAAAUAGAGCCAAAGCCGUAAUGAAAAUCUAAACUCAUAUCUAUCAUUUCAUUGUCCUCCUUUUUUUUCUUUUUCUUUUUUCUUCAUAAAUGGGGUAUAGAGGUGACUCGUUGUCCCUACUGCGUGGGUGGUUUAUUACCCCCUGAAUUUAACUGCAACACAGUUGGAACUUGGAAAUGCAUCAUAAGUAAGGAUGGCAACGGGAUGGGGGACCCUUCCCCCACUCCCCGCCCCGCUGCCUACUAAUUCCCCCCGCUUCCCCCACGCACCCCGCCCCCUGCUUCCCAUGCGGAACUAAUAAAAAUUUGUUAUAUAAUUUUAUUAUAUAGAGCCAGAGCCGUAAUGAAAAAUUAGAUUAUGAAAAAUAAAAUCCAAAUAGAGCCAGAGCCGUACUGAAAAUCUAAACUCAUAACUAUCAUUUCAUUGUCCUCAUUUUUUUUCAUUUUCUUUUGUUCUUCAUAAAUGGGGUAUAGAGGUGACUCGUUGUCCCUACUGCGCGGGUGGUUUAUUACCCCCUGAAUUUGACUGCAACACAGUUGGAACUUGGAAAUGCAUCAUAAGUAAGGAUGGCAAUGGGAUGGUGGACCCCUCCCCCACUGCCCCGCCCCGUUGCAUACUAAUUCCCCCCGCUCCCCCCACGCCACCCCGCUCCCGCCCUGCUUCUCCCGUAUAUUAAGAGGAUGCCAACUUAAAGAUGUCGAAAAUAUAUUAAGAGGAUAGUACGAUAUUGUCCUCUUAACAUCUUAAUCCUUAGCACGGAAUAAUGUACAACUAUCAACAUAAGUUUUUACUACAAGAAAGAAAUGGUCAACUGAUGAAGUUUCAUUACAUUUGUGUUCCCUAUAUUUAUAUUGUUUAUAGGGUGAAAUGUGUCAUUUAUCUAUUUUAAAAAAAUAAUUUUUUAAAAUUUUAUUUGAGCUCAAGUAGGUUUGAAUUGGAAUUCGAGCUUAAGAUUAAGUUUUAAAAUGAAAGCUCGUCGAAUUCGACCCUAUUAAAAUUGAGUCAAGCUCGAUUCAUUUAAACAAAAUUUCAAUUCAACUCAACUUAUUUGCAACCUAAUUAGCAAUCCAUGAAGUCUUCGCACUUACUGCUACACCACAAUCAAAGAAAAUUGGUGUCAUAAUGAAUUGAAAAUUUUCAAUUUGCUCGCUAGACUGCUAAACUAGAGUUAGGGUGGAAAAGAAUUGAAGGAAAUUGAGAAGUUAGCUUUUGGAUCUUUACAUUUUGGUCAAUGAUUAAGUAAAUUAUCAUAUUUUCCCUCUAAAUAUUGAUUAUGUGAUAUAUUUGUAAUUUAUUUUGACUAAAAUUUGACUAUAUUGGUGACUGGGGGAAAAAAAAUGAGAGCCUUUUUUUUAAAAUUGUUAGAAACUAAAAUCAUAAAUUUUCAUUUUAAGAGACUAAAAUUUUAUAUUAGUAAUAUUUGAGAGACCAUUAAUGAGAUUUUUUUUUUAUAAACAUCUCGAGAAUAUUGGUGCAAUUUUCCACUUGCAAAUAUUUCGUUGUUAAUACAACUAAAACAUAUUACUAGUCCUUAUUUCAAGGAGAAAGGAUAUCACUGUAGCGUUAUAUGUAUUUUUUUUGUUAAAAAAAAGUGUUAUAUGUCUUUAAAUUACUAAGAAUUAAAAUGUGAAAUUUUGAACGCGAAAUGGUUUAAAACGAAAUUCUCGCGUGAUAGAACCUUUUAGUUGUACCCCGUGCUGCAGGGGACGCUGCACCACCACAGCGCCAAUUCGCCUCGUAAGGAAGUGCUCUAUUGCACUGGAUUGAUUAGGGCAAAUGCACCACCUGUCGUAUCUCUAUGGCUGCAAUAUAAAUUGGGAUACGGACAGCUGUCACUCAGAAUUUCGGGCCUGCUGUAUCGACAUAUUAUACGAGCACCAGUAAUCCUUAACGGAAAUACAUAAAAUUAAGAGUAAAAUACGCUUAACCCCUACACUUUACUCUCAGCUCUGCUUUAGCCCUCUAAACCCACUCAAUAGACACUUUGCCGACCUUUAGGGCAAUAGCAUCCUUGCAGGAAUAUAUAUUUUUUUCUUUUCUUCAUUCAUUUAUUUGUUUUUCAUUUUCCAUUAUUUUCUUUUCUUUUUUUUUUUUUUCACUUCUUUCAUCUCACUAUUUUCUUCACUUUUCUAUUUGUAUUAUUAAUUCUAUAUUUGUUGUAAUAUUGUAGUUUUGUUUCACUUCUAAUUUCAUUCUUAAUUAAUUAAUUAAUUUACACGGUUAAAAAAUUGAGGACAAACUAUAUAACAUGAUAUAAUAAUAUAUGUUCGUUAUAAUCAAAGGUGUAUAUAACUACCAAUUUGACUAUUUAAAUAGACAUUAGCAAACCAAAAUUUUUAAAUUACCUAAUAUUUAAAACCAUAUACCAAAUUAAUGAAGAAACUAGUAUGUUUAUUUAUUUAUUAUUACAUAUGGUUUUUUUUGUUAUUUACAGUUGAUUAAACAUCAUAUUAUUACAAUCUUAUUUGUUACUGUUGUCGUUAAAAAUUAAGUAUCUAAGCUCCAGAUGUGCUAAUUUAAAUACCAUUUGAAAUAUUUCAUGUGCAUUAUUAAAUUAACGUGUACUUUAUCAUAGAGUAGAUUUUGUGAUCAUUAUUAUUUCUAAUAAUAACAAGUAAAAAAGAUAAAAUAAAUAAAGAAUAAGUUGAAGAAGAUUAAAAAUAAUAUGUAGAUAAUAAUAACAAAGAAAAGAAAUUAGUUGGCCAAUGAAGAAUAGAAAAAAAUUCCAAAAAAUGAAGAAAGGGGACAAGAAUAAAAAGGACCCAAAAAAAAGAAAAUAAAUAAAAUAAUUAAUAUAGAAGAGAUACUUUUGCCCUAGAACAGGACAAAGUACUUAUUUAUAAAACGUAGAGGGUAAAGUGUAACUGGAAUAGGAGGAUUCAGAGCAUUUAACCCAAACGUUGAAUGAUGUAAAAAAGAUCCUAACCCCCCUCGCACGUGUCAAUAUGUAGCUGAUUUCAAGAUAAGACAAAACACCGCAUAAUGCUCAGUACCUGCACUUUUUAGUUGAAAAAGGUUGGUGCAGACUUUUUGUCUUUUUGAUGACAUGAUCUUAUCAGUCCUUUCUCCAUUACCGUUGCUAGUGAUAGAGUGCUCGUAUAUGGUAAUUAACCGGUAAGGAGGAAAAAAGGAGUUUAGAACGUGUGAUCGAAAGAGUAGUGUUUUGGUUUAAAAAAAAAAAAAAAAAAGGAAAUAUAGGGUGAAAUAAUUUUGACAGAUGUUAUUUAAUCUUUAGUGCACUUAAUUACCCAAAAGAAAGUGUUGGUUGAAAAACAAUCGAAAAAUAAUUUCAGGCAAUUGCAUUCAACUAUCAUUUAUGUGGACUCGUACAUAUUUAUUGUGUUGGAAUUACAUAGACGACAUUAUUUAGACCCUUCAAUUUGAGUUUGCGCCUGCCUUGUUCGCACCUCAGAGUCAGAGACGUGAACAAUUCCAGGUGGUUGUCACUGCCCCUGCCCUUUGUUCGAAUGGGCGUUGGGCAAGCUUUUCUUUUUAAAAGAAUUUAGUCAAGAAAUUUGAAGCUUCCAGUACAGGCAGGUGGGUUCGCUUUGUAGAAAUCAAUUAAGAAUUCACUUGGAACGAAGAAUGGGGGUGUUUUUUUCAGAAAAAAAAAAGGGAUAAAUAUUAUAGCAAUUCCCUAAAUAUAUAGUACUACGUGCUACGCUGCUUAGAGCUAAUGUAAAUAGGCGAGAGUGGAGUGACUUCGUCUUUUACAACACUUUGGACGCAAACCAUGUCAUAAAUUAAUAUCCCAGAGGAAUACCAAAAGAUGCUAACAUUCACAUUUUCUCGAUCCCACCUUUUUUACUUGACGAAUACUGAAGCUUUUUAGUGUGUGUGUAUAUAUAUAUACAUAAUAUAGUGAACUAAACAAUUCCGCCCCGGGGCAGUUUGUUUGGAUAGAGAGAAUUUGGUUUGCUUAAUUUAUUCUCACAAAUCCCAAUCACCUUUUUAUUUUCCCAAUCACCUUUUUAUCUCACAUAUAUCACAUCACAAAAAGUGCUACAGUAAAUAUCUCAAAUAAAUCAUCCAAAUAAACUCUUAUCCAAACAAACUCAGUGCGUUCUGUUUCGUUUAGUACGUUCUGUUUUAUUCCCUAUCGCGUUAACCUGCCAUUUGCUGUACCUCUGCUUGGCUUUCCUGAUACACUGGCGACCUGUAACCAGUAUAAAUAUAUAUAUCUAUACACGUCUGUUAGGCCACAAGUAGUAGGCAAGUUUUUUUCUGGGGUAAGAAUUCGGUCUCAAGGCAAAUUUAUGUCUGGCUGAAGAAAGAAGUAUAUUUGGUAAGGAACACCGUCUGUCUGAAGUUGUGCGAGGAUAUUAUGUAUAAGUUCAGUUUCGAAUGGUUAAAUCUCCACUGUUCUGUUUUCGUUUCAGUUUUUUGUGCUUAGAAAGUGUGCCUUGUUCAAGGAAUGAAUCAACAAUUUUAAGAUCCAGUGACGAAUAAAAUGAAUAGGCCAUCAUGUUUUUGAUUGAUAGGUGAUGUUUUAUUUAACUACAACAUCCAACUAUCGAAGUCACUAAUUUUAUUUUGCGGAACUAAUCACCAGUUUGUGUGGCAGUCAAGUUCUGCUGGCUGAUUGCUCCUGAAUGCAUGUUUUGAAGUAUAAGGAUCCUUCUGGGAAUGCUUUUUAUUUGACCAUGGCGUUGGCUGGCUGAAAUUUUUUGUACUUUCAAAAUUGUCUUGUCAUGAAUGGUUUACCUAGUCAGGUAGACAAUCAAACCUAAAAGGUAGCAAACUAACAAAUAUACUUUGUCCGACUAUUUUGCAAUUUGUCUGUCUUUGAUCUUAGUCGUAAGACUAAUACACUAUGUGGGACAUACUACCAGAUUUGUUCUACAUUUGGCCUAAUUAUAGUCUGUUAUAUGAUUUUCUUUUCAUCACUAGUUCGUGAAAUAUGUUUUGCUCUUGUAACAUGAACAGGUGACUCUUUGUUUUCGAAACUGGAUUUUGCUGAAGGUGUAUCAAUCUCAACCAAAGUGAUUCCGAUUCACACAGUUUCCAUUGUUCCAAUGGAUUCGCAAGCAGCUUCAUCCUCCUCGUCAUAAACUGGGUAGCGAAUGGAAUCAUAGUAAACUAAUUUCAUUUGUCAAAGUGUAAUAUUUUGCCUUACUGUCAAAUGUAACUGAUAUGCAGGGUGGUGAAUGGGAAAGAAUUGAUAAUUCAUGCACGAGAGUUGGGAUUCCCUGACUUACUUUCCCCAUCCCUGGAGUCGAUGACUUGGUAUGUAUACUUGAAGUAUGCCAUAAAUAUAUUCAGCAUCCGAGAUGUUUCAGAUGAGAAUAUUAAAGGUACAUCCAACUCUUGGUAGAAGUUAUUACGCCUUGUAUAUGUUCUCAUUUGCGUCUAACAUUAGUUUGCUUGGUAUUAUCUAUGCUGAUUUCUUUUUAAUGCAUUUGGGAACUGAACUAUUGGGGAUCAUUUAUGCAUUUUCUGCUAUUCCCUGUGUAUCGCUUUUUUUUUUUCCUGUGAUUUGUGUGAAGUUUCUCCAAUUGGUUCUAGAUGUUGCAUUUGGCUUGUAGUUAAUGUGUUAAGGAAAGGUGAUUUCCUAGUAAAAGAUGCUACUAGUUUUCCUUGUUUGCUCCGGGUUUGACCGGUGAACCGGAUAAUUUGAUCAAACCCGGUUUUUUUUUUUUUUUUUGCCCUUUCUGCCUUUUUUUUUCAGUCAAAAGUUGGACUGACCAACUAAAAAAGAGACGAAAUUAUCAAAACUUGGGGUCAGCUCCUCUGCUUCUCUUUCCGUACUUUUCUUCCUUUCUUCUUCAGCUCCAAUAACCCUAAAAUCUAAAAGCCUCCACCGCUGGCAUUUGAGAUUCACCGAUCGUCGCUUAAUCAAGGUUGCCGUUAGUCACUUGUCCUUCAAUCUCUAGCCUCCACUGCCGCAACACCACCAGUUUCUUCAGAUUUCAAGGUUCAAUCAAGUAAUUAACACGCUGGUGAACCGAAGCUAAAUCUGGUAAUUUUUAUAAUCUAAACCAGUCGUGAAGAUGGCUAAUUCAUUAUGUUGAAGUUGAUCUAUGACUAAAAUUUCAGUAUUUUUUUUAUUUAUUAUGCUGGCAUUUGGGAUUUUGAUAUUAUGGGUGAGAAUAUCACGUCCUUAUUAGAGAAUCUGGAAAUUUGAAUUUGAUUGUCUCUUCUUGUUUUCAAGUUUCUUCCAUUGAUGAUUGGUUACUUUUCUUUGUCUGUUCCAUCUGGGUUAACCAUUUACUGGUUAUAAUUCGCACAACCAUGCUUAUAUGUCCCUUCACGUUUCUCUGUUAUAGCAUCAGUACCAGUGCAAACUGGUUGGAUACACUGGAUCAAGAAUUUUUAAGUUGAUAAUGAUCACACAGUCCAAGCGAAUAGUUAUCUUUUCGUUUUGAGAAUACACUGGAUCAAAAGUUAAUAAUGUCUGUUACAUGAAUGAGUCUCUUCUGUAGUUUUGUUGACCAACUUAUGUGUUUCCUACCUCAAAGGCUGAUGGAUACAAUUAUCAGCCGUACUAGUACCAUGGACAUAAAUGGUAGAAUAAUAUGCUACAACCAUUUAAUGCAGUUUUUAAUGUCCUGUGGUCCAAUAAAGCAGCAGUCUUUAGUGUAAUUUCCUACCUCAAUGUCUCUUCAGUCUUCUGUAGUUUUUAAUGUCAGCUUGAUGAUGAGGAUGAUCUUGAUGACAUCGAUAUCGAAAGUUAUGAAAUUGGAGAAAAGGGUGAUGAAGAUGAAGAUGAAGAUAAAGAAUGGCUUAGAUAGUUCUUUGGUUUAGAAAUUGAACGUGUUGUUUUAUUUAGAUUGAUAUUUAUCAAGCAUUUGAACAUGAGCUUGUUACCUUAUUUGGAUUGCUAUUUGUCAGGGAUUAAACAUGUAUGAGAUUUCUAUUUUAUAAAUUUUGUGAGUUUGGAUGAAUUUGGUGAAUUGGAUAUAAAUUUAGAUGAUUGGGUUCUUUGGUUAUAUUUUGUAAAUUUGAUUUGCAGGAAUAUAUAUAUAUAUAUAAUCUAUAUAUGACGUAUAUAUGACGUCAUCCGGUUCGACCCCUAUUGACCCCGGUCGAACCCAUUGACCCCUGACCCCUGAGCUCGGCCGAGUCGAUUCCCGGGCCGAGUCUGAAAACAUUAAAAAGUUGACUUGUUGCAUGGUUCAUUACUUUAUGCGCAUAUCAACUGAUGUUAUAACAUAUUUUCCUGGAUUUCGACAGUUCCAGCCUUGAAAUUGGAAGAUCAAUACAUCACUGAUUUCAAGGAGUUAGGAAAAGCAUUGCCUUUAGCAGAAGUACAACAGGAGGAUUUGCUUGACAGUUCUAUUCAAAAUGUGAAGAAUGCGGUACUUUUGACCCUGUUGUCUGACCAUUUACAAGAUCCCAAUCGCAUUCCUUGGCUCAGUGAUUUCAACGCACUGCUGCAAGAGCUGGAACUGCCCCAACCAGUUUCAGUAGAUAAUCUCAAUGAGAAAAGGCCUGUCGUGCUCUCCGAUGCAGAGGCAGCAUUUAAGACUUUAGCAUGGAGGCUUUCAGAUUCAGCUUUUUUGCUCCUAGAACAGUAAGUGAAUGAUUUUCGGAGCUUUUCAAGGAAGAUAGAUUCUCAACUUAUGGUUAUGAUUGUUUGGCAUAGGGCAAGGAACGCGUCAGUUUAUGAUGCAAAAUUGGUUGGAUGUACUUCAAUCAUACGCAGAAUUUUGGUCAGUACUUUCUUUCAUUUGCAACAUGUGAUCCUUAAUUUUGGUAAGUAGACCUGGCAAUUAUUCCCAAAACCCAACAACCCACCCAACCCACCCACUAAUUUGAGAGAUUGAGUUGGGUAAAUUGGGUAUUGGGUCAAUUUUGGGUUGGCUAAUAAAAAUUCACAUAUAUUUUGGACAGUUUGGGUAUUUGUGUUGGACACCUAUUACCCAACUUUUGCUAAUUGAAUCAAGUAAAUAAUCAACACAAUCUUAAAAGGGUGAAUAGUUACUCAAAAGCAUCAACUAUAGACUUUUUUCUAUUAUUUUUUGCUAUAAACAUCUUUUGUGAUUAUACUUGGCCUAUUUUUAAUUCCUUGGUUACAUACUUAAUAGGGUAUUACCCUAGAUAUGGAAAAGGCCAGAUGCGUUAGAAUAGUUGCCAGAUUCAUCGUGACAAAAAAAUUAAUUUUCAUUUGUGAGUUAGAUAUUUAGCUACAAUAUGACUUUUUUUCAUUUAUACUAUCGUCAUCAAAAUGUUAAGUAUGAAGAAUUUGAACAUUAUUAAAUUCGGAAUUAAUUUUGAGACGUUAAUGUCAACUUACAACUACUCAUGCCCAAAACCCAACAACCCACCCACUAAUUUGAGAGGUUGAGUUGAGUAAAUUGGGUAUUGGGUCAAUUUUGGAUUGGGUAAUAAAACCCACAUAUAUUUUGGGCGGUUUGGGUAUUUGUAUUGGACAUCCAUUACCCAACUUUUGCUAAUUGAAUCAAGUGAAUAAUCAACACAAUCUUAAAGGGUGAAUAGUUACUCAAAAGCAUCAACUAUAGACUUUUUUCUAUUAUUUUUUGCUAUAAACAUCUUUUGUGAUUAUAAGUGUGGUUGGAUUAUAAAUUAUUUGAGAUAUUUUUACUGUAGUACUUUUUGUGAUGUGAUGUAUGUGAGAUGUAGACACCAAAUUUUUGUCAAUUUUUAAUAUUUUCUUGAAUUUUUUCUAUUUAAUGAGUUAUUUAUUUUCUUGCAUUUUAAUUUGCAUUUUUCUCAUUUUUGCAGGUUUGUUUUAGGAAAAGAAGAAAAAUUAAAAAAAAAACAACAAACAAACAAAACAAAACAAAAGAAGGAAAAUUAAGAAAAUAAAAAAAAUCAUUCUAAUCAUUUUGUUUCAUCAGAACCACUAUUAACCCAUUUUUACACUCCAUCCUCAUUAACAUUUCUUCCCAUUUUGGUAAAAAAUUCAUCAUUGAUAGCCCAUGCAUACUUCUUGUCUUUGGAAGAAAAAAUCAUCAUUUGGCCCAACUUAACACUCCUAGUCAAGACAUCACUCGGCUCUCUCUGGGGGAAAAGGAGGAAAAAAAAACACACACAAAAAAGGCUCUACUGUUGGCUACAAAAAUCUCCUCUCUCGGCUCUCUCCCACAGGACAGAAGACAAGCCAUAACAAGAAAAAAAAAAAGAAAAACUCCUCUCUCCAUUCGGCUCCCUCUCUUUUCCUAAUAUACACACACAGAAUCAAGCACAAGAAAGCAAGCAAUCGGACGCGAGGAGAUUGGAAUUUCAUCAACAAUUUUAACUAAGGUCAUAAGAGGUAUCAACACUUCCAUUGAACUAUUUCCCGUUUUUUUUUCUUUAUCGUGUUGAAUUCAUGUAUUAUUGGUUGUUCCUGCUGUUUUCUUGUUGUUGCUGCUGGUGUUGUUGAAAUUUUGGGGUAAAGCCAUGAAUAAACAUUAAGGAAAAGAUGAUUUCUGUGAAUGCAUGUUAAUUGUUUGAAAAAAUGCCAAAAAGAAUUUUAGGGACUGUUUUGCCUUAAUUCAGCCUUUUUAUGUUGUUUUCUUGUUCAACUUAGAUUAUAGUUGUAAUGUAGAAGUUAUAAGGAGGGUUUUGGCAUAAUUUUUAAGAUUUUUGGUGAAGAUUAUAGUGUUUUAAAAAAUAAAAAACUGGACUGGCUUUUUGCUUUUCGGCCACCUUCGGGUCAUCUUUUGUAAAAAUUAACUCCGGAAAUGGAACCUACGCGAAAAAUGGAGUGGAAAGAUGUAUUUUGAGAAAUUUUGGCCACUGGAAAAGUCGCCGGUGACCGGCGGUCCGGUGGCGCCGCCACCAUGGCUACCAGCUGAAGCUUCUUCGGUUGGCCGAAGAAGAAGGAAAGGAAACGUAUGGGGAAGAAAAGAGAAAGAAAAGAAAGAAAGAAAAAAGGGGUUUGGGCUAAUGUUUUAUUUCGGUUGGGCCAAGAGUUAGUUUUGGUUGGGUUAUGAAAAUGGGUUUUGGUUUAUUUUCUUUUGGGUUUCUGUUGGGCUAAGAGUUUUGAGUCCAUAUAUUUUGGUUGGGUUUGAGUGAUAAAAGACGGGCUGGCCUGUGUGUUUUAGGUUGGGUUUUCAGUUGGGCUUAGGUAGGUUUGGCCCAAGUAAAAUAAAAAGGGAGGCCCGAUGCCCUCUUCUUGCCCAAAUCAGAAACGAACUUGCACUUCAGUCCCUGUACUUUCAAGUACUUUCACUGCGGCCCAGAACAUUUUAAAUUCCUUUCAACUCGGUCCUUAAAUUAAUUUCACUUUGGUCCCUGAAUUUUAUCUUUCAUUUAAUUUGGACCCCUGAACUUUGGAAAAUAUAAUUUUUGUCCCCCAAAAGUUUUCAACUUUUUGUAAUUCAGUCCUUGACAAAUUUUGGCUCUCUUUAUUAUGAUUGUUUCUUUUCUUCAAUAACUAAUUAUGUUACUUUUGAACAUAUUCAACUUGUAAUUUUUAGAUAUUUUAAAUUUCUUUAUGUUUGACAUAUUAGCGUGAGCUUAGUACUUUUAUUAUUAUUGUUUUUUUUUAAAAUUAAAUUGGUGCCAUGAUUCUUUUGUUCAUUGUGAGUAUAAAUAGGACAAUUUGACUCCAUUUAGUCACCACUUCAAAAGGGAGGUACCUCAUUAUUAUUAUUUCAAUGUUAAUUACGUGCUCUUAUGUGCUCUUACGUGCUCCUAUAUGUUUAUAUAUUUUUAUAUGCUUUGUUUAUUUGAUUUGAAUGAUCAUUUAAAUUUUCUUAUACUUUUUUAGUUAAUUUUAUAAUUAUUUGAGAGGCAUUUAAAUACCUCAAAAAUGUAAUAGAUAGGAUAAUUAGAUUUGUUUUAUUUUAUUUCCCCUUUUAGAUUGUAGUUAGGCGCUCCCCGAUGUAAUAGAUAGGUUGUGUGCUUAUGUGGCUUAUGUGUUACGUGCCUUACUUGCUUUCCUUAGGAUUUUUGCAUCUAGAUAUUAUGCUUAUGUGUUACGUGCUACGUGCUCUUAUGUGUUUAUUUGUUUUAAUUUAUGUCUACUUGUCUUAUUAUGUAUUAAAAAUGCAUGACGUCACCACACUAGUCCAACGCUAGUUGUGGUUUCUCCCUCCGCUUACUUGCUAGUCCAACGCUAGUAAGGAUUUUUAAAAAUGGGCUAGUCCAACGCUAGACCCUUUAGGCCGUCUUGCGUUAGAUUCAUCUUUGUGUGCUAUUCACUACAUUUUCAUGCAUAUUUUCAUUUUUAGGAUAUUUUCUCAUUUGUAUGAUAUUCCCUAUUAUAUUAUCCCAUAUUCUCUAUAGGUGUUAAUCAUGUCAUUUAGAAUUGCAUCUCAUUUAAGCUAGUUCAUUUGCUUGUUCAUGUUAGGAUAAUUAUUUUUCAAACAUGGAAAAUGGGUGAUUAUAACUCUAUAGUUUAAAUACCCUAUUAAUCCAUGUAUAAGAAAAUUAUGUCACGAAUUUUUUCGCCUCCCGUACCCUUUAUGUUGCAUUCCCUUUUUCUUUGAUCACUUAUAUAUAUGUAUAUAAUUUAAUUUCUUUUAUUUUAUUUUAUUUUUCAUCAUUUGCAUCCUCGUGACACCUUCAAGGAUUCAUUUUGGCCUUCGCAAUUAAUGCGAUUGAUCCAAUUAAACCCUUGAAUGAACAUUUUGUCCCUUUCGAUAUUUUUAGAUUUGCAUCCAUGUAGGAAACAUCCAAACGUGAUAAAAUUAAGGGUUAGAUUAGGAAAAUUUUGACUAAACCUCGCAACUAGCUUAGACUAGGUUGAAAGGGUGCCUUAGGUUUGAGUUAAUCGAACCUUUGCCUUCCCUUUCUUCAACCGUGACUCCCGAAUCCAUUUUCUCUUGUUUUCAAAGACCUGGAGUUGUCAAAAAGGGUUUUAUUUUAUUUUAUUUUACUUUAUUUUUUGGGUGACUUGGUACACCAAAAUUUCAUACCAAGUGGCGACUCCUAUUUUUUCUUAAAAACCCUUUUAGACUAAAUUUUGGACCCAAAUUGUCGCAUUCUUUAAAGUCCCAUUCUAGGUCCUUUUUCAUUUAUUUUAAAAUAAGAUUACAUAUUUUGUAAAUACCUAUUUUUAUACUUAUAUUUUUCCAUCACGAAAAAUGGGGCGCGACAACUUGGCGACUCCACUGGGGACGCUAGAGAGUCCAAGCACUUGGUUUAGUUGUCUUUUCUCUUUUUAACCCUUUUAUUUAUCGCAUUUGGAUGUUUAGGGUUGCAUUUUCUCUUUUUUAGGAUUUUUUGCAUUGCGCGCGUAUCAAUUCGCUCCCUCAUCUAUUUGUGUACGAUUGAUGGAUGGAUAGUUUAUGUAUGUUAUCCCGCGCUUUGCAUUGCAUUUGGAUGGGGGGAUAUUACCCUAGAGCCUCGCAUUGGUUCUCGAUCCCUCCCCUCCAAACCGAGCACUAGCAUACGUGCAUACGUUUUAUUUUAUCCCUCAUUUAUUUUUCUUUAGUGGCUUGUCACGCCACUCUUCCCUAUUAGGAUUAGGCGACCCACUUGGAUGUGUGAUCGCGACACGACGUGUGCGUAGCAUGAUUCGAGGGGUCACUCAAUCUUCCAUUUUAAGCUUUGGGUUGAUAGCCUUUAGCUUUUAGUCGAAAAUUGAGAAUUUUUGAUAGAUUCACUUGGACAUGUGGCCGUGGCACGACGUGCACGUAGCAAUGUCUGGGGAAUCGCUCGAGCCACCGACAAAGAACCUUGGGAUUGAUGACCUUUGGUUUCUAAGUCUGAAGGCUCGGGGAUCUAAAACCUAUCGAGUCUAGAUGCAUUAGUGAGCCGAUACCUCAUGCAUCCAUGAUAGUUUACCUAGGGUAGAGUCUGCCUUACCCUAUUAGGAACACUAUUCACGAGGGGAGGGAUCCAACCCCUCUUUAUUGUUUUAUCUUUGUGUAUUACUUUGCUACAAUGUGUUAUGUGUAUUUGUCUGAUUGAACUAACUUUUCUUGGGUUUUGUCUCCAUUGCAUUCAUAAAUCCUAGAAAAUAAGAGUCCUGGCAUGGUACUCUCUAGGAGUCUAUCCUAUUUGAUAUGACACGUUUAAAUUCAAUGCUUCGCAUUUACAGCAUGAUUACAUUUCAUUUUAGGCUCACCCCGGCAUACAAAAGGGGGUUCUUUUAGGUCGUGUUUCAUUUGUAUACUGCAUAUUUAGUCGCUUUGAUAAAUUGGUAUCAUGCAUAAACCUUAGAGGGAAUGCCAUUUAGGGAAUCCCGUUAUAGGAAUAAACCACCUUUUGUCUCGGAUAUAUAAUCCAAUGAGACUUACACGUUUAUAUUUUUUGUACCAUCCAAAGGGGUAGUGCACAAGGUAAGGUAGGAUUUGAUCCCUUCCGUGUGACGGCAUUGAAAAUAAUGGAACAGUUUUUACGCAUUAGAAUAUGAGCCUUUAAUAAUCACUUUUUGGCCAUUUUAUCAGAAUUGGUAAAAAUCCCUUGCGUAAAGGACAUUAAGUUGAAGAAAUUCACAAAUUCCUCAUUGUUGAGAUGAUAAGUAUGUUAAGGCCAAAUCUUGAUUUUCGAAGGCUCAUAGACUAAUGAAUCAUAAUGAAUUUUUGAAAAUUUUCAAUGGGUAGACAAUUCAAUCAAUUUUUGGAAUAAACCAUCAAUUUCAUUGGACCAUUUUAUUCAUCAAAUUCAUCCGAUCCAUUUUUUCCUAUUUCUUCACUUUUAGGACUAAGUCAAUUUUGAAUAAAUCAGCAAUUUCGUUUGACCAAUUUACCCUUUUUUAGGGUGAUUCGGUCAAUUUUGAAUAAAUUAAAUUUCAUUCAAUUCAUGUGACCAGUUUACCUAUUUUUAGGGCAAUUCGGUCGAUUUUGAAUAAAUCAUCAAUUUCAUUCAUUUCAUUUUUACAUCUAAUAUGAUUGAGUCGAUUUUUUUUAUAGAUCAUUCGAUCCUUACAAUUUUGCUCGUUUUUAAUUUCAUCUUCAUUCAAUUUCAUUUUGAAUAAAUCAUCAAUUUCAUUCUGUUCAUUUGGUCAGUGAUCAAGUCGAUUUUUGAAUAAACUGGCAAUUCUAUCCAAUCUAUUUGACCAAUUUAUUCAUUUUUAGGCCAAUACAAUCAAUUUUGAAUUAAUCAUCAAUUCCAUUCAAUUCAUUAUUCAUUUAAUCAAUUUUAUUUUUUUAUUUUUUUUUGAAUAAAUUCUCAAUUCCAUCCAAUUCAUUUGAUCAACUUUAUUCAUUUUUAGGAUAAUCCAGUCAAUUUUUUGAACUAACCAUCAAUUUCAUUCGAUCCAUUUAACUCGUUUAUUCUCUUUUAAAGUUUCGAUCUAUGGUUCACCGAAGAAACUAGUCGAGAUAUUUCAAUCCUUUCAAAAAUAAGUUUUUCACACUAAAUUGAUUUUUAACAUCACUUUAUGUGUCAAUCAAAACAAUCAAUCCAUUCGGACUUUGUCCUCAUUUUAUUAGAACAAAUUGUCUUUUGUCACUCCAAUUAUCCAGUCUUUUCAAAAUUGUCUUUUCAUUGAAUCUCAAUAAGUCGAUCGGAUCCAUCAGGUAUUGUAUGGUGCCUACCCCAGAGGAUUGCAUUUUUCAUACUAGGCCAACUCUUGGCAUAAAAGGGUUCCCCCAUAGGACAUGCAUACCGAUUUUGCAGUUUUGCUUACUAACUCUGGGUAUUUUGCUUUUAUUUUUUCCCCCUCCCCUGCAUUUAUAAAAGUUGUUUCAACAAGGUAAAAAUAUUUUUCCUAUAUCUGAUAAUAUUUUUGGUCUGAUAAAUUUUGAAAAUUACAAGUGUUGCUUGAUUCUUGGGCAGAUCCUACAAUGUAAAAAAAAAAAAAACGAUGAUGAAAAAAAUGAAUGAAAAAUCCAUUUGAAAACGCUAGUGUAAAGUAUCUCAAAAAUCUUUUGAUUCAUUGUUUCUAAUAUAUUUUGUCUCAAAAGAUAGAAGGAGAAAGUGUGUAUAUAUUUGAAAAUGUAUUCUUUAGAGAUUUUUAUUUGCUCACAUGUAUUAUAUUUGACCCAAAAAAAAAAAUUUCAAACAUUUGAAUAAUAAAGUUUUUAUUUAGACAAUUAUUGUUUUGUAUAUAUUCAUUCUUUAUUUGCUCAUUGAGAGAUUUCAUGAUAGAUUUUAAGGAAUAAAAAUUGAAAUUUUUCGACCUCUUGUUCAAAAUUCAUGAGUGCACGUCAAAUUCCCAAAAUUCUUUGCAUACACUAGAUUUGUGAUCUAAACUAUUCAAUGGGAGUAGUCGAAAAUAAAAGGGGUCAUACAAAUUUGAUAGUUUGUCAUAAAGAUCAACCCCGACACUUUUUUCAUUUUUUGUCCACUUCUAUUGAACCUCCAAAGUCAGUCGCAUUGAUUGACUAGCUUCAAAGUGAGACAAUUUUACUAUGAAAAUGUCCAGUGUGUCUAACCAGAUUCAAUCCACAUCUGAGUGAAAACAAAAAUGUAUAUUACUUUUUAUUUGUUUUGAAAAUUUGGAAUGAUACUUUAGGCUUUUGUUUCUCUAUCUAUAUAGAUUUUAUCAUUUAUUUUCCCAUUUGAACCUCCAAAAAUAGAAUUCCGUUUCAAAUAAAAAUCUAAAUGAUCAUGACCAUCCAUGAAAAAUUCUCAAAUGUCAAAACGAAAUGGAUUUUCUCAAUGGGCUAUUCUUUACUUUGGUUGUCAUGAGAAACAAGAAUGAUGCUUUGGCCAUUGUUUCUACUAUCCAAACACUUUCUAUCCUUUGCAUCCCCAUUUGAGUCUAAAUUGGUGGUUCGUUUCAAAAGCACUUAUGAUCGCACCCCCACACUGGGGAAGGAGAUUUGAGAAUUGAAAAAAAAAUGGCAAAAAUGCUCAAAAUUUUUUGCAAGAGAAAAAUUACAAGUUGGGGGAAUUUGACUCUACCAUUGAUAUUUUGGUCUUCACUGUUGAAAAGAAAGAGGGGCCAUAUAUACUCCAAAUUAGGGAGUUUUCAAUUUUAUCAUUGACAUUGGGAUAUCAGUAUUGGUAAAAAAAAAAAAAGAGAGAGAAAAGAAAAUUGGGAAAAAAUGAAAAAAUGAUUAUAGAAAAAAAAAAUGCGAAGACAUCCAAUGUUGCAUUUCCCUUAGUGAUUGUUGAAGAAAAAAGAGGAUUGAUAAGAAAAAGGGGGUCCCGGAUUUUAAAUCCAAAACUGGGGCAAUUUUUGUGAAAGAAGGCGAUCUUAAGUGCGUUGUCCUUGAAAAUUCUAUUUUUUUUUUUUUUUAGCUAUCAUUGUUAAGCCACAUUACAAGCUCAUAAAGUCCAUUGCUGACUUAUCUUUCAUGACAAUUUGAAGUGAAGAUUUCGCCUUUAAGGAAUUUACCAAUUACUCAUGAUCAUUAGGUCAUAACUUGUUUCCAUAUGUUUAACUAUCGUUUCUACCCAUACAUUACAAGCCCAUAGAGCUUAUAUGUUAACUGAAUUUUCUUAAGAAAUAAGGGUGAUAAGCUAUUUGCUUUCACCAAGAUGUGAUACUGAAUGUGUUGGAUACAAUUUGGGCACAAAAAAAAAAAAAGACAGAUCCUGACAUACCAUCUCCCUGAGUCACCUCAAAAUCAUGAGUAAUACCCAUUUGUUUGGUCCUAAAAGAUGAGCCAACGAGAAGAGGACCCUUUUCCCUCGAUAUCGAUCCCAAAAAGAGGAAGAGAUCUUUUGUAAUUUGGUUUUGUUUUGAGAGAUUUAUCAUGGAGCUUUCUACAUGGCAUUUAAAGUUUUUUGUGGAAAAAUGCAUUUUUUCUAUUGUACAUCAACUCACAUUGCAUGUUAGUUUUUUUAAAUUUUGGAAGACACAGUUUUCUUGUUUUGUCCGAAUAAAUGGAGAAUCACUCGAAUAAAAUUUUAGAAUAGACCCAAAUUGGGGCAAAAAUUUUUGUAAUAUAUCUGUGAGAUUUUGUCAAAUAGGUUCAAAUUGAGGUAAAAUUUUUAAUACAUUUGUAGGGUAUGUCCAAGGUCAAGUAUAUUUCUCAAAUCUUGAUAAGUCAACACUUUGCAUGAAUGUUAAUUGUUAUAUCAUUACUCAAAAAAAAACAAAAAAACAAAAAAACAAAAAAAAAUUGAAAAUUGAAAAAUUCAAGUGCUUUGAAAAAUUCUCCUUAUGCAGGUGUUUAUGGUUGAGAUCGAGGAAAAAGUGCAAUUCAACUUGCAAAUUUGGAGAUUAGUCACGAAUAAAAAUGGAGCAAUAAUGCUACAUUGCAAAGUGGAGGAUCGGCUAUUUGCUCAAAAGGAGUACAUACUUUAGCAGCCAACUUGAAAAAAAAAAGAGAAAAGAAAAGAAAAAGGGGGAAUGAAAAGCGAAAAAAAAAGAGAAAGAAUAAAGGAAAAAAAAAAGUAAAGACAAAAGACAAAAGAAAAGAAAGGGGGAAUGAAAGAAAAAAAAAGAAGAGAAUAAUAAAAAAGGAGGAAAAAAUGGAAAAACGAAAAAAAAAGAGAAUAAAAAAAAGGGGAUUGAAAAAAAAAGAGAGUUUUUCCUUCGAUUUUGCAAAUUUUGCAAUUGAACUCUGGGAGCGUUUCAUUGGAGAUUACAUUUCUAAGUUAGGGCAACACCUUGUCCUCUUAUGCUGAAAUGGAAGUGGUAAUACAUGCCAAAACCGAGAUCCCGUCCUUGCACAUUUUGACAAAGGCUUAGGUAGAGGAAAUCAAAUGGAUUAAGGAGCACAAUGAGUUGCUAUCUCUGAUUGAUGAAAAAGAGGUUGAAUGUUUGUCAUGGACAAUGCUAUCAUCAAAUGAUGGUUCGUUAGUUAUGACAAGAAAGACAAAUCUUGCUUAUUUGAAGUGAGGGAUAAGGUUUUGAAGUAAAUUCUUCCGAUUCAAGAGGAGGUUAAAGAAAAGUUUGCUCCGACUUGGCAAGGGCCAUUUAUUGUUCAAAGAGUGCUAUCCGGAGGAACGUCCAUUCUUACAGAACUGGAUGGACAGGUCUUUCCUCUGCCAAUCAAUUCAGACAUGUGAAAUAAAUUCUUUAUCUGAUUAUAUGAUUUUUCUUUUUGAAAUACCAUCUAUGGCGGAUCAAAGGCGAGCCUUCUUCUUUUCUCUUUGAACAUCUUAUCCCUAGUUUUCCCCAUUGAACCUCCAGAAUAAUUCAACCUUUCAUUUGAUAGCCCUCCUAAAGAUUGCAAACUCCAUACUGGGGUAAAUUUUUAUCUCUUAUUUGUCAUGAAAAAAAAAGAAAAAAGAAGUCAAAAGCCAAACUGGGGCAAUUUUUUCGGUUUUAAUACCCUCAUAAUGGGGCAAAUAUUGAUAGAAUGCGGUCUUAGGAUUUUUGAAACCUCUUUGAAGAUUUUGCUUUGAAGUUUAACACUUUUUCUACACCCCACAUGCCCCCAUCAUAAAAAUCAUAAAGUCUCGACCUCCGCUUUAGUGGUAUUUCUAAUAAAAAUCACUUAAUCAAAUGGCAAUUGAUGUCAGUACACCUUCACCAUUUUUACAUGGGAAUGGUUGUCGCGCUGAUGCCAUCCUUUCUUUAAAUACAUUUCUGAGUUGAUAAAUGUCGUUAACAAGAUUUGUUCAUUAGGUGAAAACCUGAAAGGGUGUCUUCAAAAGAAUGAGAAAAAAAGAAAAAAAGAAAAAAAAAGAGAAUGAUGAAAAAGAAAAAAAAAAGAAGAAAAUGAAAACAAAAUAAAAUAAAAAGGUGUGACCUUUGUGAAAAUCCGAAAGGUUGAGGUCAUCAAGGUGAGAUUUUGGAGCACAAGAAAAUCAUGAACGAAAAGCGGGUUGCUGACACUUGAGAUACUGGCCAUUCAUUCAAAUCUGGUCAUUAGAAAAGUUGAUUUGUGGUACAAAGUGUGGUAUGGCUGACUGAUGCUGAAAAAUGGAGAAGAUUCAAAACAAGUUGCAGCACAACUCUUGAGGAGCAGUUUUGACAUCGAAGGAUCAUGCUUGCAUGGUUCUCAGGGCCAAAAGGAGCACAAGGAAUCACAUGGUAUUGGUAUCAUAUGAUCACUCUUUUUGCUUUUUCAAAAGCAUGAAAAUGUGGCUUUCGUUAAACAUGAUUUACACUGGGGCAAAUAUCAAAAGGAGUGAGCUCCAAUUUUGGUAAUACAUUCUAAAUCGGCUUUGUGAAAAAAAAAGUUUUUUAAAGUCGAGAAGAUAGUGACACAUGUAUGUACCUCUCAAAUCUCUUGAAAGGAGAGUUGUCAUUGGUAUUCUUCAAGUUUUAGAAUUUGUCACCUUUGUUUUUUUUCAAAAACAAAAAAAAAACAAAAAAAACAAAAAAAACAAAAAAACAAAAAAAGAUUACAAAUCCACCAACUUGAGCCACAAUGUCAAAAUGCAAAGCAGAUGAUUGGUUGAACAAAAUUGAUUCAAAUUGAGUCAAUUUCUGAAAUGAUUUUUCAGGUAAGUAUUCAAGAACUUUUUCAUGCAAUAACGUGUGUCAUGUCUUUUAUCACCGUUAGCAUCGAGUACAACUCACUAACGCGUGUUUUAUUUUUUCACAUCCGUUAGCAUCGGGUCCAACCCACUAACGUGCCUUUUAUCACCGUUAGCAUCGAGUAUGACUCACUAACGCGUGUUUUAUUUUUUCACAUCCGUUAGCAUCGGGUCCAACCCACUAACGUGUCUUUUAUCACCGUUAGCAUCGAGUACAACUCACUAACGCGUGUUUUACUUUUUCAUAUCCGUUAGCAUCGGGUCCAACCCACUAACAUGUCUUUUAUCACCGUAAGCAUCGAGUACAACUCACUAACGCGUGUUUUACUUUUUCAUAUCCGUUAGCAUCGGGUCCAACCCACUAACAUGUCUUUUAUCACCGUUAGCAUUGAGAUUUGACUCACUAACGUGUGCUAUUUUUUUUCACAUCCGUUAGCAUUGGGUCCAACCCACUAACGUGUCUUUCAUCACCGUUAGCAUCGAGUAUUGACUCACUAACGUGUGUUAUGUUUUUUUCACAUCCGUUAGCAUCGGGUUCAACCCAAUAACGUGUCUUUUGUAUAUCAUGUUGGGAUUCGGCAGGUUUGGGUGUUAUCCCACUGACCGUUUUAUUUUAUUGGAUUCGGGUUUUAUCCCACCAAUCUGUUAUUUCUUGACAAUUUAAUUUCCUGUUGGUGAGUCUCAGCGUCCACCGCGCACCCUUCUAUCUCCCAUUCUUGACAAAUUUAAAUUCCUGUUGGAGUGUAAUCGCGUCCCUCCGCGCAUCAAUUUAAUUUCAUGUUGGUGAGUCUCAGCGUCCACCGCGCACCCUUCUACCUCCCCUUCUUGACAAUUUAAUUUCCUGUUGGUGAGUCUCAGCGUCUACCGCGCACCCUUCUAUCUCCUAUUCUUGACAAAUUUAAAUUCCUGUUGGAGCGUAAUCGCGUCCCUCCGCGCAUCAAUUUAAUUUUCUGUUGGAGCGUAAUCGCGUCCCUCCGCGCAUCAAUUUAAUUCCUGUUGGUGAGUCUCAGCGUCCACCGCGCACCCUUCUACCUCCCAUUCUUGAUAAAUUUAAUUGUCUGUUGCAGCGUAAUCGCGUCCCUCUGCGCAUCAAUUUAAUUUCCUGUUGGUGAGUCUAGCGUCCACCACGCACCCUUCUAUCCCCCUUCUUGACAAAUUUAAUUUUCUGUUGGUGAGUCUCAGCGUCCACCGUGCACCCUUCACCUCCCAUUCUUGACAAUUUAAAUUCCUGUUGGUGAGUCUCAGCGUCCACCGCGCACCCUUCUACCUCCCAUUCUUGACAUUUUAAAUUUCUGUUGGUGAGUCUCAGCGUCCACCGCGCACCCUUCUAUCUCCCCUUCUUGACAAUUUAAAUUUUCUGUUGGAGCGUAAUCGCGUCCCUCCGCGCAUAAAUUUAAAUUUCUGUUGGUGAGUCUCAGCGUCCACCGCGCACCCUUCUACCUUCCAUUCUUGACAUUUUAAAUUUCUGUUGGUGAGUCUCAGCGUCCACCGUGCACCCUUCUAUCUCCCCUUCUUGACAAAUUUAAUUUUCUGUUGGAGCAUAAUCGUGUCCCUCUGCGCAUCUUUUCCUAAAUGACAAAUUUAAUUUUCUGUUGGUGAGUCUCAGCGUCCACCGCGCACCCUUCUACCUUCCAUUCUUGACAUUUUAAAUUUCUGUUGGUGAGUCUCAGCGUCCACCGCGCACCCUCCUAUCUCCCCAUCUUGACUGUUAAAUUUUCUGUUGGAGCGUAAUCGCGUCCCUCCGCGCAUAAAUUUAAAUUUCUGUUGGUGAGUCUCAGCGUCCACCGCGCACCCUUCUAUCUCCCAUUCUUGACAAAUUUAAAUUCCUGUUGGAGCGUAAUCGCGUCCCUGCGCGCAUCAAUUUAAUUUCCUGUUGGUGAGUCUCAGCGUCCACCGCGCACCCUUCUAUCUCCCCUUCUUGACAAUUUAAUUUCCUGUUGGAGCGUAAUCGCGUCCCUCCGCGCAUCUUUUUUGAAAAGACAAAUUUAAUUUUCUGUUGGAGCGUAACCGCGUCCCUCCGCGCAUCUUUUUCUAGUUAUGACAAGUUAAUUUUCUUGACUGUUUUGACUAAUAAUUGUGAUUUCUCAUUCAUUUUGUGUUUCAUGUUUAGAAGUUCUGAGAGCUCAGACUUUUUCGACUUUGCAAAGACCAUAGUUGGUCAAUGCACUUGUUUCGUUGUGGUUCACUUGCAUUCGAACUACGUUUGACCUGAUUCCCAUGGCGGGAUACGUAGGCAACUCUACAUGAGUUCGGUCAUAUGCUCUGCAAUGUUAUUGCAUCAUUUUGUCCAAUAAUUUCAACCAAGUGUUAGCUUGUUUAAUUUAACUCAGGUGCAGUUAGAAGAGACAGGUAAACAAUUUUGACAAAUUUUUGUCAAUUUUUAAUAUUUUCUUGAAUUUUUUCUAUUUAAUGAGUUAUUUAUUUUCUUGCAUUUUAAUUUGCAUUUGUCUCAUUUUUGCAGGUUUGUUUUAGGAAAAGAAGAAAAAUUAAAAAAAAAAACAACAAACAAACAAAACAAAACAAAAGAAGGAAAAUUAAGAAAAUAAAAAAAAUCAUUCUAAUCAUUUUGUUUCAUCAGAACCACUAUUAACCCAUUUUUACACUCCAUCCUCAUUAACAUUUCUUCCCAUUUUGGUAAAAAAUUCAUCAUUGAUAGCCCAUGCAUACUUCUUGUCUUUGGAAGAAAAAAUCAUCAUUUGGCCCAACUUAACACUCCUAGUCAAGACAUCACUCGGCUCUCUCUGGGGGAAAAGGAGGAAAAAAAAACACACACAAAAAAGGCUCUACUGUUGGCUACAAAAAUCUCCUCUCUCGGCUCUCUCCCACAGGACAGAAGACAAGCCAUAACAAGAAAAAAAAAAAGAAAAACUCCUCUUUCCAUUCGGCUCCCUCUCUUUUCCUAAUAUACACACACAGAAUCAAGCACAAGAAAGCAAGCAAUCGGACGCGAGGAGAUUGGAAUUUCAUCAACAAUUUUAACUAAGGUCAUAAGAGGUAUCAACACUUCCAUUGAACUAUUUCCUGUUUUUUUUUCUUUAUCGUGUUGAAUUCAUGUAUUAUUGGUUGUUCCUGCUGUUUUCUUGUUGUUGCUGCUGGUGUUGUUGAAAUUUUGGGGUAAAGCCAUGAAUAAACAUUAAGGAAAAGAUGAUUUCUGUGAAUGCAUGUUAAUUGUUUGAAAAAAUGCCAAAAAGAAUUUUAGGGACUGUUUUGCCUUAAUUCAGCCUUUUUAUGUUGUUUUCUUGUUCAACUUAGAUUAUAGUUGUAAUGUAGAAGUUAUAAGGAGGGUUUUGGCAUAAUUUUUAAGAUUUUUGGUGAAGAUUAUAGUGUUUUAAAAAAUAAAAAACUGGACUGGCUUUUUGCUUUUCGGCCACCUUCGGGUCAUCUUUUGUAAAAAUUAACUCCGGAAAUGGAACCUACGCGAAAAAUGGAGUGGAAAGAUGUAUUUUGAGAAAUUUUGGCCACUGGAAAAGUCGCCGGUGACCGGCGGUCCGGUGGCGCCGCCACCAUGGCUACCAGCUGAAGCUUCUUCGGUUGGCCGAAGAAGAAGGAAAGGAAACGUAUGGGGAAGAAAAGAGAAAGAAAAGAAAGAAAGAAAAAAGGGGUUUGGGCUAAUGUUUUAUUUCGGUUGGGCCAAGAGUUAGUUUUGGUUGGGUUAUGAAAAUGGGUUUUGGUUUAUUUUCUUUUGGGUUUCUGUUGGGCUAAGAGUUUUGAGUCCAUAUAUUUUGGUUGGGUUUGAGUGAUAAAAGACGGGCUGGCCUGUGUGUUUUAGGUUGGGUUUUCAGUUGGGCUUAGGUAGGUUUGGCCCAAGUAAAAUAAAAAGGGAGGCCCGAUGCCCUCUUCUUGCCCAAAUCAGAAACGAACUUGCACUUCAGUCCCUGUACUUUCAAGUACUUUCACUGCGGCCCAGAACAUUUUAAAUUCCUUUCAACUCGGUCCUUAAAUUAAUUUCACUUUGGUCCCUGAAUUUUAUCUUUCAUUUAAUUUGGACCCCUGAACUUUGGAAAAUAUAAUUUUUGUCCCCCAAAAGUUUUCAACUUUUUGUAAUUCAGUCCUUGACAAAUUUUGGCUCUCUUUAUUAUGAUUGUUUCUUUUCUUCAAUAACUAAUUAUGUUACUUUUGAACAUAUUCAACUUGUAAUUUUUAGAUAUUUUAAAUUUCUUUAUGUUUGACAUAUUAGCGUGAGCUUAGUACUUUUAUUAUUAUUGUUUUUUUUUAAAAUUAAAUUGGUGCCAUGAUUCUUUUGUUCAUUGUGAGUAUAAAUAGGACAAUUUGACUCCAUUUAGUCACCACUUCAAAAGGGAGGUACCUCAUUAUUAUUAUUUCAAUGUUAAUUACGUGCUCUUAUGUGCUCUUACGUGCUCCUAUAUGUUUAUAUAUUUUUAUAUGCUUUGUUUAUUUGAUUUGAAUGAUCAUUUAAAUUUUCUUAUACUUUUUUAGUUAAUUUUAUAAUUAUUUGAGAGGCAUUUAAAUACCUCAAAAAUGUAAUAGAUAGGAUAAUUAGAUUUGUUUUAUUUUAUUUCCCCUUUUAGAUUGUAGUUAGGCGCUCCCCGAUGUAAUAGAUAGGUUGUGUGCUUAUGUGGCUUAUGUGUUACGUGCCUUACUUGCUUUCCUUAGGAUUUUUGCAUCUAGAUAUUAUGCUUAUGUGUUACGUGCUACGUGCUCUUAUGUGUUUAUUUGUUUUAAUUUAUGUCUACUUGUCUUAUUAUGUAUUAAAAAUGCAUGACGUCACCACACUAGUCCAACGCUAGUUGUGGUUUCUCCCUCCGCUUACUUGCUAGUCCAACGCUAGUAAGGAUUUUUAAAAAUGGGCUAGUCCAACGCUAGACCCUUUAGGCCGUCUUGCGUUAGAUUCAUCUUUGUGUGCUAUUCACUACAUUUUCAUGCAUAUUUUCAUUUUUAGGAUAUUUUCUCAUUUGUAUGAUAUUCCCUAUUAUAUUAUCCCAUAUUCUCUAUAGGUGUUAAUCAUGUCAUUUAGAAUUGCAUCUCAUUUAAGCUAGUUCAUUUGCUUGUUCAUGUUAGGAUAAUUAUUUUUCAAACAUGGAAAAUGGGUGAUUAUAACUCUAUAGUUUAAAUACCCUAUUAAUCCAUGUAUAAGAAAAUUAUGUCACGAAUUUUUUCGCCUCCCGUACCCUUUAUGUUGCAUUCCCUUUUUCUUUGAUCACUUAUAUAUAUGUAUAUAAUUUAAUUUCUUUUAUUUUAUUUUAUUUUUCAUCAUUUGCAUCCUCGUGACACCUUCAAGGAUUCAUUUUGGCCUUCGCAAUUAAUGCGAUUGAUCCAAUUAAACCCUUGAAUGAACAUUUUGUCCCUUUCGAUAUUUUUAGAUUUGCAUCCAUGUAGGAAACAUCCAAACGUGAUAAAAUUAAGGGUUAGAUUAGGAAAAUUUUGACUAAACCUCGCAACUAGCUUAGACUAGGUUGAAAGGGUGCCUUAGGUUUGAGUUAAUCGAACCUUUGCCUUCCCUUUCUUCAACCGUGACUCCCGAAUCCAUUUUCUCUUGUUUUCAAAGAACUGGAGUUGUCAAAAAGGGUUUUAUUUUAUUUUAUUUUACUUUAUUUUUUGGGUGACUUGGUACACCAAAAUUUCAUACCAAGUGGCGACUCCUAUUUUUUCUUAAAAACCCUUUUAGACUAAAUUUUGGACCCAAAUUGUCGCAUUCUUUAAAGUCCCAUUCUAGGUCCUUUUUCAUUUAUUUUAAAAUAAGAUUACAUAUUUUGUAAAUACCUAUUUUUAUACUUAUAUUUUUCCAUCACGAAAAAUGGGGCGCGACAACUUGGCGACUCCACUGGGGACGCUAGAGAGUCCAAGCACUUGGUUUAGUUGUCUUUUCUCUUUUUAACCCUUUUAUUUAUCGCAUUUGGAUGUUUAGGGUUGCAUUUUCUCUUUUUUAGGAUUUUUUGCAUUGCGCGCGUAUCAAUUCGCUCCCUCAUCUAUUUGUGUACGAUUGAUGGAUGGAUAGUUUAUGUAUGUUAUCCCGCGCUUUGCAUUGCAUUUGGAUGGGGGGAUAUUACCCUAGAGCCUCGCAUUGGUUCUCGAUCCCUCCCCUCCAAACCGAGCACUAGCAUACGUGCAUACGUUUUAUUUUAUCCCUCAUUUAUUUUUCUUUAGUGGCUUGUCACGCCACUCUUCCCUAUUAGGAUUAGGCGACCCACUUGGAUGUGUGAUCGCGACACGACGUGUGCGUAGCAUGAUUCGAGGGGUCACUCAAUCUUCCAUUUUAAGCUUUGGGUUGAUAGCCUUUAGCUUUUAGUCGAAAAUUGAGAAUUUUUGAUAGAUUCACUUGGACAUGUGGCCGUGGCACGACGUGCACGUAGCAAUGUCUGGGGAAUCGCUCGAGCCACCGACAAAGAACCUUGGGAUUGAUGACCUUUGGUUUCUAAGUCUGAAGGCUCGGGGAUCUAAAACCUAUCGAGUCUAGAUGCAUUAGUGAGCCGAUACCUCAUGCAUCCAUGAUAGUUUACCUAGGGUAGAGUCUGCCUUACCCUAUUAGGAACACUAUUCACGAGGGGAGGGAUCCAACCCCUCUUUAUUGUUUUAUCUUUGUGUAUUACUUUGCUACAAUGUGUUAUGUGUAUUUGUCUGAUUGAACUAACUUUUCUUGGGUUUUGUCUCCAUUGCAUUCAUAAACCCUAGAAAAUAAGAGUCCUGGCAUGGUACUCUCUAGGAGUCUACCCUAUUUGAUAUGACACGUUUAAAUUCAAUGCUUCGCAUUUACAGCAUGAUUACAUUUCAUUUUAGGCUCACCCCGGCAUACAAAAGGGGGUUCUUUUAGGUCGUGUUUCAUUUGUAUACUGCAUAUUUAGUCGCUUUGAUAAAUUGGUAUCAUGCAUAAACCUUAGAGGGAAUGCCAUUUAGGGAAUCCCGUUAUAGGAAUAAACCACCUUUUGUCUCGGAUAUAUAAUCCAAUGAGACUUACACGUUUAUAUUUUUUGUACCAUCCAAAGGGGUAGUGCACAAGGUAAGGUAGGAUUUGAUCCCUUCCGUGUGACGGCAUUGAAAAUAAUGGAACAGUUUUUACGCAUUAGAAUAUGAGCCUUUAAUAAUCACUUUUUGGCCAUUUUAUCAGAAUUGGUAAAAAUCCCUUGCGUAAAGGACAUUAAGUUGAAGAAAUUCACAAAUUCCUCAUUGUUGAGAUGAUAAGUAUGUUAAGGCCAAAUCUUGAUUUUCGAAGGCUCAUAGACUAAUGAAUCAUAAUGAAUUUUUGAAAAUUUUCAAUGGGUAGACAAUUCAAUCAAUUUUUGGAAUAAACCAUCAAUUUCAUUGGACCAUUUUAUUCAUCAAAUUCAUCCGAUCCAUUUUUUCCUAUUUCUUCACUUUUAGGACUAAGUCAAUUUUGAAUAAAUCAGCAAUUUCGUUUGACCAAUUUACCCUUUUUUAGGGUGAUUCGGUCAAUUUUGAAUAAAUUAAAUUUCAUUCAAUUCAUGUGACCAGUUUACCUAUUUUUAGGGCAAUUCGGUCGAUUUUGAAUAAAUCAUCAAUUUCAUUCAUUUCAUUUUUACAUCUAAUAUGAUUGAGUCGAUUUUUUUUUAUAGAUCAUUCGAUCCUUACAAUUUUGCUCGUUUUUAAUUUCAUCUUCAUUCAAUUUCAUUUUGAAUAAAUCAUCAAUUUCAUUCUGUUCAUUUGGUCAGUGAUCAAGUCGAUUUUUGAAUAAACUGGCAAUUCUAUCCAAUCUAUUUGACCAAUUUAUUCAUUUUUAGGCCAAUACAAUCAAUUUUGAAUUAAUCAUCAAUUCCAUUCAAUUCAUUAUUCAUUUAAUCAAUUUUAUUUUUUUAUUUUUUUUUGAAUAAAUUCUCAAUUCCAUCCAAUUCAUUUGAUCAACUUUAUUCAUUUUUAGGAUAAUCCAGUCAAUUUUUUGAACUAACCAUCAAUUUCAUUCGAUCCAUUUAACUCGUUUAUUCUCUUUUAAAGUUUCGAUCUAUGGUUCACCGAAGAAACUAGUCGAGAUAUUUCAAUCCUUUCAAAAAUAAGUUUUUCACACUAAAUUGAUUUUUAACAUCACUUUAUGUGUCAAUCAAAACAAUCAAUCCAUUCGGACUUUGUCCUCAUUUUAUUAGAACAAAUUGUCUUUUGUCACUCCAAUUAUCCAGUCUUUUCAAAAUUGUCUUUUCAUUGAAUCUCAAUAAGUCGAUCGGAUCCAUCAGGUAUUGUAUGGUGCCUACCCCAGAGGAUUGCAUUUUUCAUACUAGGCCAACUCUUGGCAUAAAAGGGUUCCCCCAUAGGACAUGCAUACCGAUUUUGCAGUUUUGCUUACUAACUCUGGGUAUUUUGCUUUUAUUUUUUCCCCCUCCCCUGCAUUUAUAAAAGUUGUUUCAACAAGGUAAAAAUAUUUUUCCUAUAUCUGAUAAUAUUUUUGGUCUGAUAAAUUUUGAAAAUUACAAGUGUUGCUUGAUUCUUGGGCAGAUCCUACAAUGUAAAAAAAAAAAAAACGAUGAUGAAAAAAAUGAAUGAAAAAUCCAUUUGAAAACGCUAGUGUAAAGUAUCUCAAAAAUCUUUUGAUUCAUUGUUUCUAAUAUAUUUUGUCUCAAAAGAUAGAAGGAGAAAGUGUGUAUAUAUUUGAAAAUGUAUUCUUUAGAGAUUUUUAUUUGCUCACAUGUAUUAUAUUUGACCCAAAAAAAAAAAUUUCAAACAUUUGAAUAAUAAAGUUUUUAUUUAGACAAUUAUUGUUUUGUAUAUAUUCAUUCUUUAUUUGCUCAUUGAGAGAUUUCAUGAUAGAUUUUAAGGAAUAAAAAUUGAAAUUUUUCGACCUCUUGUUCAAAAUUCAUGAGUGCACGUCAAAUUCCCAAAAUUCUUUGCAUACACUAGAUUUGUGAUCUAAACUAUUCAAUGGGAGUAGUCGAAAAUAAAAGGGGUCAUACAAAUUUGAUAGUUUGUCAUAAAGAUCAACCCCGACACUUUUUUCAUUUUUUGUCCACUUCUAUUGAACCUCCAAAGUCAGUCGCAUUGAUUGACUAGCUUCAAAGUGAGACAAUUUUACUAUGAAAAUGUCCAGUGUGUCUAACCAGAUUCAAUCCACAUCUGAGUGAAAACAAAAAUGUAUAUUACUUUUUAUUUGUUUUGAAAAUUUGGAAUGAUACUUUAGGCUUUUGUUUCUCUAUCUAUAUAGAUUUUAUCAUUUAUUUUUCCAUUUGAACCUCCAAAAAUAGAAUUCCGUUUCAAAUAAAAAUCUAAAUGAUCAUGACCAUCCAUGAAAAAUUCUCAAAUGUCAAAACGAAAUGGAUUUUCUCAAUGGGCUAUUCUUUACUUUGGUUGUCAUGAGAAACAAGAAUGAUGCUUUGGCCAUUGUUUCUACUAUCCAAACACUUUCUAUCCUUUGCAUCCCCAUUUGAGUCUAAAUUGGUGGUUCGUUUCAAAAGCACUUAUGAUCGCACCCCCACACUGGGGAAGGAGAUUUGAGAAUUGAAAAAAAAAUGGCAAAAAUGCUCAAAAUUUUUUGCAAGAGAAAAAUUACAAGUUGGGGGAAUUUGACUCUACCAUUGAUAUUUUGGUCUUCACUGUUGAAAAGAAAGAGGGGCCAUAUAUACUCCAAAUUAGGGAGUUUUCAAUUUUAUCAUUGACAUUGGGAUAUCAGUAUUGGUAAAAAAAAAAAAAGAGAGAGAAAAGAAAAUUGGGAAAAAAUGAAAAAAUGAUUAUAGAAAAAAAAAAUGCGAAGACAUCCAAUGUUGCAUUUCCCUUAGUGAUUGUUGAAGAAAAAAGAGGAUUGAUAAGAAAAAGGGGGUCCCGGAUUUUAAAUCCAAAACUGGGGCAAUUUUUGUGAAAGAAGGCGAUCUUAAGUGCGUUGUCCUUGAAAAUUCUAUUUUUUUUUUUUUUUAGCUAUCAUUGUUAAGCCACAUUACAAGCUCAUAAAGUCCAUUGCUGACUUAUCUUUCAUGACAAUUUGAAGUGAAGAUUUCGCCUUUAAGGAAUUUACCAAUUACUCAUGAUCAUUAGGUCAUAACUUGUUUCCAUAUGUUUAACUAUCGUUUCUACCCAUACAUUACAAGCCCAUAGAGCUUAUAUGUUAACUGAAUUUUCUUAAGAAAUAAGGGUGAUAAGCUAUUUGCUUUCACCAAGAUGUGAUACUGAAUGUGUUGGAUACAAUUUGGGCACAAAAAAAAAAAAAGACAGAUCCUGACAUACCAUCUCCCUGAGUCACCUCAAAAUCAUGAGUAAUACCCAUUUGUUUGGUCCUAAAAGAUGAGCCAACGAGAAGAGGACCCUUUUCCCUCGAUAUCGAUCCCAAAAAGAGGAAGAGAUCUUUUGUAAUUUGGUUUUGUUUUGAGAGAUUUAUCAUGGAGCUUUCUACAUGGCAUUUAAAGUUUUUUGUGGAAAAAUGCAUUUUUUCUAUUGUACAUCAACUCACAUUGCAUGUUAGUUUUUUUAAAUUUUGGAAGACACAGUUUUCUUGUUUUGUCCGAAUAAAUGGAGAAUCACUCGAAUAAAAUUUUAGAAUAGACCCAAAUUGGGGCAAAAAUUUUUGUAAUAUAUCUGUGAGAUUUUGUCAAAUAGGUUCAAAUUGAGGUAAAAUUUUUAAUACAUUUGUAGGGUAUGUCCAAGGUCAAGUAUAUUUCUCAAAUCUUGAUAAGUCAACACUUUGCAUGAAUGUUAAUUGUUAUAUCAUUACUCAAAAAAAAAAAAAAAACAAAAAAAAAUUGAAAAUUGAAAAAUUCAAGUGCUUUGAAAAAUUCUCCUUAUGCAGGUGUUUAUGGUUGAGAUCGAGGAAAAAGUGCAAUUCAACUUGCAAAUUUGGAGAUUAGUCACGAAUAAAAAUGGAGCAAUAAUGCUACAUUGCAAAGUGGAGGAUCGGCUAUUUGCUCAAAAGGAGUACAUACUUUAGCAGCCAACUUGAAAAAAAAAAGAGAAAAGAAAAGAAAAAGGGGGAAUGAAAAGCGAAAAAAAAAGAGAAAGAAUAAAGGAAAAAAAAAAGUAAAGACAAAAGACAAAAGAAAAGAAAGGGGGAAUGAAAGAAAAAGAAUCAUUGUAAGAUUCUUAUCAUGCCAAGAGUCAAUGGUGUAAGCAAUGAGCAUGAAAAAGAAUAAUAACUUUUUUCAAAUAUUAUUUUACUUAUAUCAUAAACUCAUUUUUGAAUCGUUCUUUUAUUAUCGUUUCAAUCACUUUUUUAUUUCACAUAUAUUACAUCAUAAAAAGUAUUACAAUAAAUACUCCAAGUAAAAUAUAUUUCAAAAUAAUCUCCUAUCCAACCACACUCAAAGAUUUCUUAGUAGUGAAUUGUCAUUUGGUGAGCUUUGAUUAGCUUUCUAGAAUACCGAACUUGACCAUAGGGGUAUGAAUUCGGUACAAUUUUGGAAAUUCAAUUAUUUGAAUUCGAUUUUUUCGAUUAUUUUACUUGUAAAAAUCUAAAUUGCUUUCAAUUUCUAAUUGGAAAUAAUUGAAUUCAUUCAGUUACCAAAUUGAAUUUGGAAACAGUCAUGAAAUCUGUUAUAAUCGAAUUGGAUAAUAAUUUUCACAUAAUUAAAUAGGAAUCACUUGUGUAGUUGCAUACACUUAGUCAUUUAGUUACAUAUAAUUUACUAAUGAUGUAUUGCAUUACACUUACAUUUAUUCUUAUUUUUUAUAUAACCUAAAUGUUUAAUUUGCAAAUAACUUGAUUGCUUUCAACGGUGAAUGCUAAUACACUAAUAUAUUGACAUGCAAUUCAUAUACAUUCGCGUAGAUUACUUAAUGAUACUGCAUAGUUGUUUACAUUUAAACGAGAUUAGUGAUUAGAGAAUAUAAAUUCACAUAUUGUAUAUGUAAUGUAAAUUUAGAUUAUACUAAUACUUGCAAGUUAAACAUUACACAUUCAAAUAUUUAAUAAUCCAAAACAUGAAUGAUGAAUCAAUGACUAAAUUCUAAUUAUUAAUUAUGUUUAAUAUUUAGUACUAUACUUAUACUUAUUAUCUAAUUCUAAUUAUGUAUAAAUGGGUAAGUGUUAUAGUUAUGCAUUAUUGCAUAUUUGUAUUAUUAUAACCAUAUAACAAAAACUAAAAUAGUAUAUUUUAUAUCAUUAUAUAUUUUUAUUACUAUAGGUACAUGAUAAUACUAUAUACUAUCUAUUAUUAAUAGCAUUUACUUAUAUAAUCUAUUAAUAGUCUAUAGCAUUUAUCUAUAUAAUAUAUAAAUUUAUAAACUAAUUUGAUAUUCCAAUGCCACAAUACAGUAUCCUAUUUCGUUUUAUCGAAUUUAAAUUCGAAAUCGGUUAUUAUCAUAUUAAUAAUUUCAUUAUCUAUUUCAUAUCACAUUAAAAUUCGGUAAAUUUGAUAAAUACCAUUUUUGUACCAAAUCACCAAAUAGCCGAUUUCAAAUUAUCGAAUUAAAUUUGAAAUCGGGUAUGAAUUAUGUUCUUACCAAAUUUGCUCACUCCUACUUGACCAAAAGAGGAACAAAAUUUGCAGCGGUAAAAGGUAAGUAUUAAUAAUCAUUUGAUUCGAUGCUACAGUUAAUAGUGAAUAAAUCUAGUAAAAAAGAAGAGCUGUAAAUAAAUUAAAUUAGCAGAGGGUGUCAGCGUGGAGAGACAUCAGGAUCGGGUGGAUCUAUCCGCAAGCACUAAAAAUAGGAAAACAGAAGCAGGAAGCUGCCCCCAAUGUGGGUUGUGGCCCCCACGCUUCACAAUUGUCAGGGCCUAGGGGAAUAUAUACACGUGUCAUAAGCACGUGGGCUAUGGGGCCUCCCUUCUUGGUCCGUUGGUACACAGAAAAUCGUACUACCUUAUCUUCCCAAAUCGAAAUGCCGCUGCGGAGUCUCUGGCAGAUCAUCGCUUAGGGGUAAUGGUGACGGUGUUUUGAGUGUGUGUGCACUCUUUACGGUAUUCGUUCAGUCUGUCCGUUGGGCCGCCUUUGGCUUCCUCCAUGCUGCAAACAUCAUCUGCCCUGUAUUCCACAUAAAUUUACACACAGCACACACAGUUAUAGGCAAUUUUUUUUUUCAAUUUUUGUAAUUGAAAAAAAAGUCGAGCAAUUUCGAAUAUCAUCAGACCAAACAAAUUCACAAUAGGAUUACGAAUCGCUUACGGGUUUAGAGAUCGCUUAUUAUAAAUAGAGUCUUGACACCGAUAACUACUAAGGCAAAACAAAUCCUCAAAAUUAUAAGUUGCUUAUUUAGAAAUUAACUUUAAAUAUAAUUUUUACAUCUACAGCGAGAUUUAAAUACACAAUUUUUCUGAAAAAGUGAUUUGUAUUGAUUCAACAUGCAUUGACUUACGUGCACUUUUAUAAUGCAUCUGAUUCAACAUGCGUUGCUUGGAUAUGAAUUUGACAAUGAAUUAGAAUAUUUUUAUAGAUUACUUUUAAUCCAUUGUUUUGAUCUUUUCAAUUUUUUUUUGACAUACAACACGUCAAAUCAUUUUCAAUCCAAUCAAGGUAGAUUUAAGAGCACAGACACGUUAUAAUGCUCAUGAAGAUUAAUGAUAGCUUGGGAUGAGAGAAAAGUUUCUUAAUUACAGAUGAUUGCAUAUGCCAUGAGGGAAGAAAGAUAAUCCAUAGAUCACACACCACUGUCUUGGUCAUUGUAAAACUCCAUAAUGAAAAUUUAUACAAAAGUUUCAUAUUCUUUUUGUAAAGUAAUUACUGCGUAUAUUUCCUGUUUUUUUAACAUGUUCAUCAAAUUUGAAUCCGAAUGAUCGGAAAACAAUAAAACAUUUACGUCUAAACUAAUUUUAGAAUUUCUUUCCAAAAAAUAUAUAUAACAACUGUUGAUACGAAAUGAGGAAUUUCAGGUUCAAGAACCCAUCAUUUGUGUUCAAUGAAGUUACUCGAAAAUCAUUUAGAGUUCGCUUUUGUAUUGCGUCAAUUAUAUUAACAGCCUUUUCAAAAGCUGCAAAAUUGUCUAAUUAUUACUUGCCUCAAGCUCAAAAAAAGGUUGAAAUAUUUGCUAAAGAAAGAAAAGCGCCCCGGACUAAGACCCGUUUAGGGUUACGAUGCGUUUAUAGGAAAUUUACUUUUAAAUAUUAAAAAUAUUUAGAAUAUUUGAUAACUAAUUUUUCAUAAUUUAAGUGGUCCAGUUUUGAUAAAUAAAAAGUACUUUUAUUAAAAAUACUUAUGUUAAAAAUACUUUUUUAUAAGCAAUCGUAACACCAAAUAGGGCCUAAAUAAUUACCCAAAAAGCUGUGCGCCAAGGGGAAUUUAGGAAUUUAACAAAAGAAAAAGAAGAGGGGAAUUUGGAAUAUUUUAUAAAGAAGCGAAAAUGAAAGGAUGGUAAAAAGAGCAGGGAUAAAUUUUUUUUAAAAAUACGAAUAAGUAAACAUUUGUUUGGGUAUCCUAAUUAUUCCAAAUAAUAUUUUGCUUGCAUCAUAGAUACAUUUUCCAACCCACUUUUUUAUAUUUCCAACCAUCUUUUUAUCUCACAUACAUCACAUCACAAAAAGUGCUACAGUAAUUAUUCCAAAUAAUAUUUCAAAUAAUACACUAUCCAUUAUAAUUUGAGAGACUGAACCUUUCCGAAAGGAUAAGGUUGACAGUAACGGCGUCAAAUUUUGCCAGCCCACCGUUUUCUCGUUUUCGUACUAAUGGCGGUUUACCGUUUUAUUGGACGACGCCGCUGUGAGGUCCUGACGGGACGGCCACUGAUGUUGACGGCAGGGUCAUUGGUCAAAUUGGUCUCCGUCAUGUGGGGCAACUCUGACACGGCAAGUAAAUAUCACUACUAACUUGAAGAAAAAUGAAAAACAAUUUACACUAGAAGGAAAAUAUGAAAAAUAAAUCUGCUCGAAUAUAAUAAAGAAAAAGGUGAAAAAAAAAACAGAUUUUGGAACUAAGUGAUUAGACAUUUGGCAAUGCAAAUUUACCUUAAUUCAAGAGUAAAGAAUAAAAAAGCCAAAUUUUGAUAAUUAAACAAAAUUCUGGGUUUUUUGGACACAAAAUUAUUUUAGAUAUUAUUUUACUUGUACCAUAAACACAUUUUUCAAAUCAUUUUUUAUACUUUCAACUAUUUUUUCAUUUUAUAUAUCACAUCAUAAAAAAAUAUUAUAAUAAUUAUUUUAAAUAAUAUCCUAUCAAAAUUUUAAAAUGUUCUUGAUAGGUUAUAAUGCCACAAUAAGCAAAUUAUGACAUCACGAAUACUUUACUCAAAAAGAAAGAAAAGGAUGUAAAAAAAGAAAAGAAAAGUUGAUUACUUGGUCAUUUGAUUUGUGCCCGUAACCAUGAAAAAUUAUACUAACUAGUUCGAUUAAGUAAUCUUUGUUAGUUUGAGAUGACCAUAAUUGAAAUUAUCCACAAAAAGUUUGUGAGUUUUACUUUUGUUUGUAAGCAUAAUUUACAUAAAAAUUAUUUACUUGCAACACAAAUACAUUUUUCGAUUCCACAUUUUUAUUUCACAUACAUCAUAUUAUAAAAAUACUAUAGUAAUUAUUCCAAAUAAUAUUUUAAAUAAACUCUUAUCCAAACAUUAGUUGUGUUCCUUCUUGUCAUUGCUCGACUGAUUUUCUUUCUUAAAUUUUUUUUUUCGCUCAUCUUUUUCUUUUGUUUCUUUUUCUUUUUCCUCUUGACAUAUGAUGCAAACAGUGAAAGUGGAAAUGUCUACACAACUCUACAUCACAAUCUUCAGCUAUAGAUUCAUCCCGGACUUUGAAAAAUAUAUAUCAAUGUGCAUCUUGAGGUUGAGCAUACCUGAAUCUCAAUUAGUCAAACAUUUAACUAAUGUGUUGAAUAAUGAUCUCUUCCUUCAAAAAAAGAAAAAAAAAAAAUGACCUCUUGUUUUAGUUAAUCAUUUUCACUACAAAGAUUGACCAAUAAUGAUGAACAUUUUAACACCAUUUCGUUAAACUUAAUCAACAAAAUCAGAAUAUGACAACUCUUCAGGUCUCUUCCAUUCACAUUUGAGCAGACUUAAAGCUUCCAUUUCCCUAUUUGGACAGCCCUUUUUACUGGAAAAUUGUGUCGUUUUUCGUUAUCACAUUUUAUUAUUAUUAUUUUUUUCACAUACAUCAAAUCGCUACAGUAAUUUUUCUAUAAAAAAAUCAUAGAAAAUGCAAUCCAAAUACAGUCAAGUCUCAUAAUUUUUUUUCCUCCCAACAGUCUCAUAAGUUUCAUAUCGAAAAGGUGGCAAGACUCUUUCUCUAGCCCUUAAAUACAUCAAAAGUUCCAAUCCCUCAAGAAUAUCUACUGUUCAUUAUCCAAUAUCCUGAAUUGAGAUUAGAUAAAUGCCUUAAGGUUUCAUUUUUUUUAAUAGUAGUACUAGUUUACUUCGUAAUUCACUAAGUAAACCUGGGGCUGGUAGAUGUUAAUCCGUACAUGGAAAUUAUCACUUCUGGAAAAGAAUCUUCCUGUUAUUUUAUUUUGCACACGUUCCAAAAAAAAAUUAAGAACUAGAGUACGUAGAUUUUGCCAUUGGAAAUUCAGACAGAACAUUGACAAUUGGUGGGAUAAGAGACAAGAGCGAUGCUACCCAAAACUCAUCACCGACUAGAUCCAAUUUAAUUAAUCCAGAUUUUUAAAGAUGUAAUGAUUCAGAUUGAACUAAAUUAUUUCGUCAAGUGUUGCGGUACAAUUUGGAUCAUAAGUUAUUGAAAACCAAAUUGACUCAAGUUUUGGCCACUCGUUAAUCAGGUCUUUCGACCCUUCUAAUUACAUUGGACCAAAAUUACCACUAUGAAUUUUGUUAGGAGGAUUGGAUCGGAUGGUAAAAUAAAAUAAUUGUAAGUAAGAAAUCUUAAAUUCAAAUUUUUACACUUUUAAAAAGAAAAACCUGGAUGUUGCAUAGUGUAAAAGUGUUCUCUUUCAAAUCAAAAGCCCGAUCGAGUAAAAUUUCACACACUUAUGUUUUUUACUAUACAUUGAUGUGAAAAUAAAGAAGCACGAUCGACUUGUAUUACUAUUGCAACUGUUUUCUAAGUUUACAGAUACAGCGUUUAAUUUGUUUCUAAUGAUUUUUUCAGCAUAAUGUUUGAUAUGAAUCUUCUAGAAAUUGGCCUAUAUCAUCAAUGGCAAUGAUGAGCCUUUUGAAGUUGAUUUAGUUGGAUAAGUUUGGUUGUUCUGAUGCUUAUUAUAAUUUGAUCAAUCUUCAUUACAAAAUUCUGAUAUUAAUUUAUGAAUUAAUACUCACUAAAUUAGGGUCACAAACAUUUAUGGUGGAAUCUAUUUAAUUUUUAUCUGUCCAUACAGAUAAAACCCCUCUAUGAGCAGAAAGCAUCAAAUUGUAGAGUUUAUGUAAAGGUAAUUAUCAAUGGUACCUAAAAGCAAUUAAAUAGUCAGGUAAAACAUACCUACUUCUAAAAAACUCUUACAAGGCGAAAUUUGAGGUACAAAACUAACUUCAUUUAAGUCACAGAUUGAGCGCAAUUAAUCUCAACUAAUUCCGGUACACAAAUUUAAGUAGGCAAUCUUGUGUUUUAUACCAUCCCUGCUUAUAUUCCCAUGCAGCAAUUAAUUCUUGCAAUUCAUAUCACGUUACCAUAUUUGUCUUACCUAAAAGAAAAGGUACCAGCUGUGGUAAUUAUCCAAAUCCCAUUAAUAGAACUCCCAAAAUAGCCCGCUUUUUUAAGAGUAGAAACUAAAACUAUGAAAAUUUAUUACCAUUCCAAGUAGGCAUAUUCUCUUAUUCUUUCUAGUCAAAUAAGAAAAAAUAAAUAGAUAAGCAAAACUUAUAUUAGUAGGCACAGAUCAAUAUGAAUAUAAAUAAUUUACUACCUGUUUGGAUUGCUAUUUUUAGGAAUUUUUAUUAAAAAAAAUGCACUGUAAUAAUUUGAUAUAUGUGAAGUGAAAAGGUGAUUGGAAAAUGAGUUUGUGAAAAGAUAAAAAAAUUUUCUGCGAAAAUUCACAAUCCAAGACUUACCUCAAUUUGAAGAAAUUUCCCCUGAAUGCAUUUAAAGACGCUGAACUCGGCUCUAAACAUGCUAAGUUUGAUCCUAAACUAAUACUAAUAAUUCGCUAAUAUAACAAAAAAAGGGAAUCGAAUCCAAUUCAGUACUACUCCGUCUGUUUGAAAAUUAUUGAAUUUUUUCCUAUAUUUAUUAUAGCAUUUUUAUGAUGCAAGGUGUUCGAUGAAAAAAGUUUAAAAUAUUGUUAAAAGAAGCAGUGAGAAGAUAGAAUUUCUUAAAAAUAUAAAAGAUGGCCUAGAAUUUAUUUACCCAAAAAAAAGAAAAGGAAAAAAAACUGGCCUAAAUGGCUAAAUUGCCAAGUCUAUCUAAAUACUAGCUAGUAAAUAUGGCUGUAAAAAAAGUGAACCAAUCCAGUGUAAGGAUCAAAUAUAUAUGUUUUGCAGGGCCUGUAAGUAAAAAUCUUAUCUGGUUUAGCCUGUUCCACUGUUGCGCUGGCUUCUUUGGUCCUUGCGCCCUUCUUCACGAGACGAGACCCCUCCCCUGUCUUUCUUUCUCUCUCACACACUCACACACUCAUUUUUCAUCUCUCCUCUAUUCUUAUUCGUAGUUCGUACCACUAUUAUUGUUAAGCCCCAAUCCCCUUCCAAUUUUUCCUCCUUUUCUCGUCCCAUCUUCUCAUGCUCAACUCAAAACCCCAACUAAGAAAUUCUGAAAAUCCAAGCACUUCUCCCCCAAUCCCCAAUGCUCAGACCCUUCUUCUUUCCUCAUACUCCUCACCCCCACAAAUCUUGAUACAUACCAGAAAGAAACUUCUUCCGAACCCUUCUCAUUUUUCAUUUUUUUUGUAGAAACCAAAAAAAAAAAAAAGAAGGAAGAUGAAAAGAAACCAUCCAAAACUGCAGCAGUCAACAGCAGCAGCAGCACGAGUGCAAGUCCAGGAAAGCAGCUAUUCAGGUGGGGUGGAAGUUCAACGGGAGUGGCAGCUGUUACAGUACCAUGGCGAGUUGCAGCUCUGCAGGAGGAGGAAGCCAGAGCAAAGGGAAGAUGUGGGUUGAUGAGUCUGACCAGCAAGAUGAUGAGCUUUUGGCUGUUUUGGGCUAUAAAGUCAAGGCAUCAGAUAUGGCUGAAGUUGCACAAAAGAUUGAGCAGCUUGAAGAGGUUUUUGGUAAUGCCGAAAAUGAUAGUUUAUCCCAUCUGGUUUCCGAGACUGUUCAUUAUAAUCCCUCAGAUCUUUCGUCCUGGCUUGGAUCUAUGAUUUCUGAACUCUACCCGGAAUAUGUCUUCCAUCCCUGAUUCGUCUGCAAUUUCCUCGUUGGAUUUGUAGCUCGAAUAACACUACUAGCAAUAGUGCACGUACCUUGCACAAUUAUCCCAAUUCCAAUCGGUGAUUUUUGACGACUCAUCUUUCGAUUCUGAUCUCACCGCCAUCCCUGGAAAGGCGGCGGUUUACCCACAAAUCCAGCAAUUGCCGUCCCCUGUUUCCGUUCUCCUGGUUCUGUUCAGCCGCCGAGUAAGAGAAUGAAGCCAAGUUCCCAAAUGGGCGGUUGGGGGACUCCAAGCGAGUCCAUCAUCACGAAUUCGAGAGCUGUUGCGUCAACAAGGCCAGUUGUUCUUGUUGAUUCCCAAGAAAAUGGGAUUAGGCUUUUCAUGCUUUGAUGGCCUGCGCUGAGGCUAUUCAGCAAGAGAACAUGAAAUUAGCUGAAGCUUUGGUGAAACAUAUUGGAUUCUUGGCAGUUUCUCAAGCAGGGGCAAUGAGAAAAGUGGCAACUUAUUUUGCUGAAGCAUUGGCAAGGAGGAUUUAUAGAUUGUAUCCAACCAGCCCUCAUGAUUCUGCCUUUACUGAUUUGCUGCAAAUGCAUUUUUAUGAGACUUGUCCUUACAUAAAAUUUGCCCAUUUCACAGCAAAUCAGGCGAUCUUGGAGGCUUUUGCUAACAAAAAUCGGGUACAUGUGAUCGAUUUUAGUAUGAAACAAGGUAUGCAAUGGCCUGCGUUGUUACAGGCUUUGGCCUUGAGGCCAGGUGGUCCUCCUAGUUUUAGGCUAACUGGGAUUGGACCGCCUUCACAUGAUAAUACUGAUCAUUUGCAAGAAGUCGGGUGGAAAUUAGCCCAAUUAGCUGAUUGCAUUAAAGUUGAAUUUGAGUUCAGAGGCUUCGUUGCUAACUCCCUUGCUGAUCUUGACGCAUCCAUGUUUGAUAUUCGCGAAGGAGAAACAGUUGCAGUGAAUUCCAUCUUUGAAUUGCAUCAGCUUUUAUCUAGGCCAGGGGCUAUUGAAAAAGUCUUGUCAGCUGUGAAAGAAUUGAAGCCUGAAAUCUUAACCGUGGUCGAGCAAGAGGCUAAUCAUAAUGGACCGGUUUUCUUGGACCGGUUCACCGAGUCAUUGCAUUAUUACUCGACCCUUUUCGACUCGUUGGAGGGUUGCGGCAGUGGCGGCGGCGGCGGCAGCGGCGGUAACGGAGGUGUUGAUGGUGGUUCUAGUAGUGGCGGCGGUGUGGCUGUGAGUGAUCAAGAUAAGGUGAUGUCUGAGGUGUAUUUAGGGAGGCAGAUCUGUAAUGUGGUGGCUUGUGAGGGGGUGGACCGGGUUGAGAGGCAUGAGACAUUGGCUCAAUGGCGAACCAGGUUCGGUUCGGCCGGUUUCGAGGCGGUUCAUUUGGGUUCCAAUGCCUUUAAGCAAGCUAGUAUGUUAUUGGCUUUGUUUGCUGGUGGGAAUGGGUAUAGAGUGGAGGAAAACAAUGGGUGUUUGAUGUUGGGAUGGCAUACAAGGCCUCUAAUUGCAACCUCGGCUUGGAAACUCAGUUAACCGACCGAGUUAAACUUGACUCGGUCAGUGAGUUAUGGGUUUGCAGGGGGGACUAGCUCAGUUUUGGGCCUUUGGUCUACCAAACCAUUGUAAGAGUGGUCUCUGCUUAGCUGGGUACCUUAGUGAGGUGAGACCCACCGCUCCCUAGUGUGUCUCCCUUUGUUUUUUGUUUUUUUUUUUUUUUGAAUUAUUCAAUUUUCUUUUUACUUUAUCCAUCUGUUUUAGGUUUUUAAUUUUUAAUUUUUUAGGGUUUUUUUUUUUUUUUGUUAAUUUGGGGUGGAAUCAUGUAACUUUCCGGGGGUGAAUCUCAAAAGGGUCAAUGUGUAGUUAUAUAUAGCUUUGCUUAAUAAAA